rnacentral:lncRNA from 1 species
CGGACGUGCCUGUCGAACGCGCCCCGCCGGUGGUCGUGUUUUCGUCGUCCCUCCCGCGGAACAAUUCUCGACGCGUCGUACGUACACGAGACACCCGCGCGUGUCGCGGAACCGCAUUAAUUGUUUUCUAUUUCGCUCGUUGUUCCCGCCACCGAGUGCCGGCAAUAUGUCGGGGUUUUUUCGCUUCGGUUUUUAAAUUUCGCGUCUCCCGAUAUUAUCGCGCGGAAAUCGAACGACAACAAUCGCUAUUGCCGUUAAUUAUAAACGGUACGCACGCUCACCCGUUCCUCGUUAGCGGCGCGGUGCGAAUUUAGCCGCGCGCGUUUUUUGGCCCGCGGGCGGGCGCCGUGUGUGUGCUCCACGCGCGUAAAACACGUCGCCUAAAGUGUACUGCUGCGACGCGGAACGGAUUACGCCGCACGCGGAAACCCGAACGAUAUCCGAAAUAUCAGUUAGUACAGACAAUUAAUUUAAAUAAAUUGUUAAUGGAUCGUGGCGUAUUCAGGGACACAUCACGUCCGUUUUACGCGUGUCAAUUAUUAAUAAUGUUUCCGAUGUGCGAGUCGACGGAAUAACAUUACUGGUGUUUAACAGGUACUCCUUGCCGAUUGACAAUAUUUAAACUCCUCGGGACAGCGUUUACUAGUUUGAUCGUAUUACUAUUUGACGAUAACCGCUCGAAAAUCACGUUUUUUUUUUCGAAUCGUGUAUACUACAUAGUAUUAUUCGUGUGUAUCACUCUAAACCCCUCUCACCCCCCUUUCGAAAUUAUUUGUGCAACGAUUUGGCGAUACAAUAUGUGCUUUUUUUGGUUUUCGAUGUUACUUUUUCGCGAUGACUCGAUUAAAAUAUGAAAAAAAAAAAAAAUCAAAUCUGAACAAACGCUCCCGUAGUGAUGUAAAAUAAUAUUAUUUUAUCCGAAAGGUUAAUGAGUUCGAAAUGUAAAGGUUAACUUAAUAUCUUUUAACAUUCGAUUUCUUAUUAAGUUAUUUAUUUUUCGUUAACCCGAGGUACGUCAUAACGAAUUAAUUCUUAACUAUAUCGCAUCAAGUUAAUAUCGAUUUGAAUUUCUUAUAAUUUCAAUACGAUCUAAAAAUGCAUACACUAAUUGAAUACAAUAUAACAGUAUAAUCGUUCUUUUUUUUUUUUUUUUUUAUUUACUCGACAACUUUUGUGCAUAGGUCAGACUUUAAGACAAUAAUUUGAUAUUCCCACGGAAUAACCGUCUCCGUUUCCGCCGUGUUCAACAUUGACGACCGUUAUUUAAAAAGAAACUGACUACAGAUUUCUAUCGUUUUACCGGGUAUAACAACGAAUACUUAAUAAUAAAAAAAAAAAAAAAUUCAAAUUCAAUAUGUUAAAUUUACACGCUAAUUGAAUAAUUUUAAAACUGAUAUUAGCUUAACAUUUUCCGAUACGUAAAUAUAUAACUUGAAAUGUCACAAUACAAACAUAAAAUUAUUCAGAGACUAAAAAUAAUAAUAAUUUCGUUUAUUACUAUCCUCCCCCUAUUAUCGUAUAAUUAAUAUUCUAAACGUACAUUAAAAGUUUACCGGAUUUGGUACACAUAUAGAUUUUAAAAAGGCUGUUCGAUUGAGGAUAAUUGCUAAAAAAAAUUACCCAGAUGAAGUUACGAGAUACGUAACAAUAUUUUAAUUAUCUAGACAAAGAUAAAUGAUCAGCAACUUUUUAUCUGUAUACAGUUUAGUUUUUUACCUAUCAUUAAAGUAUUGAUGUAACUGAAUGAUAAUAUUACAUUUAUUGAACCAUACAUAAAUUAAACAUUUUACCUAUUAUUUCUAGUAAAUAUAUAUAUCUUUGCUGGGCUGGCCAAGAUAAUAAAUUAUAUUAUCUCAAUUAUGCUAAGUUAAUUAAAAAAAAAAAUAACGAGUUAACACUUAAAAAGUUAACUGUUGUAUAAAUAAUUAAGUUAAGUUAAAAGUUAUUUUGAACAUUUAAUUACUAUUUAAACUUUUUUUUUAUACAUAAUUGUAAUUACUAUAGUAAAAAUGAUAUUAAACCUGAGUUUUUUUUCUUUACCAAAAAAAAAAAAAAAUAUAUAAAAUUAAGAUCAAUAUUAUACACGAUAUUAAUAUUUAACUGAAGAUCCAAACUCUACAUACAUUAUUAUUUUAAAAAAAUAGAAAAUAAUAAUUUAUUAUAACAUCGUACGUAUUCAAGUAAUGCGUAUAAAUUGUAAAUUUAAAAAAAAAAAAACGAAACUAACAAACGCAGUGAAAUUUAAAUUUAACUCGUUAUUUAUGAAGUUAAAAUAAAACUAAUAAAAUGAUUUAAAAUUUAAGUUAAUACGAAAAUGAAAUGUUAAAAAUCAAAAUUAACUUUUGAACUCGUUAUUGUCCAGGCCUGUAUCGCUGAUCCAAGGAAAGAAGUGCUUUAAUCAAUUUUCAGUAGUUCUUUAUUACAAUUUUCUAUAAUUUAAUUUCUCCCUUUUAUUUUUUAAUUUAUAUUGCACAAAGGCCGAAAUUGUAUUCGUUUUCAUAAUAUAAUGUGUGUACCAUUAGUAUUAGUGUGUUGGUUUAAGCGUAUUUAUUUUCAAAAUUAAAGUCGCUUAUAUUGAAAAUAAUACGAAAUUGGCUUAGACCGACCUUUCCUAUUACCUGUUUCUUGAUAAAAGAUAAAAAUUUACCUAUCUAUAGAUAAAACACAACACUGAUUGUUAAUAUUCCGCACGCACGUAUAAUCGCUGACGACGAGUGACAACGCGUACUGCAGCACUACAUAAUAUUAUACCUAAUAUUCUAUAAUAUGGCCAGUGAUGUAGUGUUUUUUUUUUUUUUUUUAUACUUUUUCCCCACGAACGAGAGGGGGAACGCCACCGUUCAUAUCGACAGGUUGAACAUUUUUCGGAUUAUUAUUAACGCGAGUGCGCGCGUGAUUGUAUAAGUAGUUUUUUUUUUAUUAUUAUUAUUAUUUGGCAACGCGUUGUUUGAAAAAAAAAAUACACUGUGUAAGUAUCUGCAGUUUUUUUUUUCACCGUGUUUUCAUAUAUAUCUACCGUAUUUUAGACCAAAAUAUUGUAAAGGUAAAAUAUUUUUAAUACCGGUAAGGUUUGGUAAAUUAUUCCUAAUACCGGUAGAUACCAGUUUCGCUAAACUUAAAUCUAUUUAUUAUUAUUUUACGAGUUAUCAGGCUCGAAUAAUCAGUGGCGAACAGUUAUGAACAACGGUCUACGGCACGUUUCGAUGAUAUUGUAGGCACUCUUCACCCAUACCCCGUUCAUAAGAAAAUGACCCCAUCAUCUCGCAUCUUUUUUAAAAUCGUUAUCCCUUUUAAAAAAUGUCCUUGAGUCGACGAAUGAAAAACAAAUGUAACUAUAUUAUUGUUAUUGUAUUUGGAUAAAAAAUAUCGAUUAUAUUUCCCAAAACAGAAAAUAUUAUUCUGCUGGUAUUAUAUACUUAAAGUUGCAAUGAGUAUGAAAAACACUGCGUACACUGCACAUUAUAUUUCAACGAAAGUAUUUGCGAUCUUUCGCGCAUUCUUUUGGGAUGUUAUUAUCUCGUCGAACAUCUAAUUUCGUACAACUCCCUAAAAUCCCAUAAUACUUCCGUCAAUCUCUUUUCCAUUUUCGACGCGAAUUUUGAAAUUGUUGAAACCAUUAUCGGUUUUAUUUCGGAAGAUUGUUUUAUUAUUGAAUAUUUGUUGUGUUAUAUAUUAUUAUUAAUAUUUAUUAAUUGUUUCACAUUUUUUUUUUGUUUGUUUCCUAUCGUAAUAUUUAACUGUCACACUGUAUAGUUUAACAUAAUCAGAUAAAUAAAUAAAAUUAAACUGUCCCAGGAUAAUGGGGACCAGUGCAGCCACUGUUAUUGGCAAUUUAAUGUAUACCUGUAAAGAACGAUAAACCAUUGCUAACGAAAAAACGAUUCUGAGGGGAGUUCAGUUAAUAGUGAUGCUUUGUCAAUAAUGUAUGAUAAUUAUGUCAAAUUAUGGUAAAAUAAUUAAAUAGGCAUAAUAUAUUUUCUUUAAUAAUAUUUUUUUAAUGUACCGAUUUUCCCAGUUUUUCACAUUUAUUUGGAAAACUCUUAGGAAAAUCAAAAAAUUAUCGCCUUAAAGUACCUUCCUAAUCAGAUUUCCUUUCAGAAAAAAUGUUAACAUUUUAAAUUCGAGCAAACUUUCUGGUAGACAAGUUGUUUACAGGAAAAAAGAAGGCCGUAAUAUUUUUAACCAAUAUCUACAUUUCGUACAUUUUUCCAUUUUUUUUCGGUUUUUCAAAUUUGUUAAGAAAACUCCUUGGAAAAUAGAAAACUGAUAUCUUUAAAGUACCUUCCCACAUCGAUUUCUUUUCAGAAAAGGUGCUACACUUAAAAAUCGGAGCAAGAUCUCUGGUAGAAAAGUUGUCCACAGGGAAAAAAAAUGAACUCUUUUGUAAAACCAUAAGCUUCUUCGGUUCACUCAGAAUCUAAAACCGUUCAUACAGCUAUUACAUGAACGAAAGUGAAAACGCCGCGGUACUAUAAACUACAUUAUUAUUAUUAUAAUACGGAUUUUAUUCGGUAAAAAGUCUACGCGAACCCGGAGAGUGGUGAAAAAAGUUUUGUCGAUCGGGCGAGCGGGCGUAUCGUCGCGGAUGUAUAGUAUUUUUCGAUAUGAAAGGUUAAACUUUCAAAAGUCAAAGUUAAUCCGAAAUUACGAUGACGAUUGUGUUGACAUUUUUAUUCGCUCACGCGUUCGUGUUAUUACAUUAUACAUUAUUCGAUAUUUCCAAUAUUUAUAUAUACGAAGUUCUGUUUUCGGGCAAAAGUGUGAAAAACACGGCGAGCGACAAUAUACUCUGAUCACGUGUGAAUUUCAUUAUAUAUAUAUAUAGUUUUCAAUACAAGCAAAUUAAAUUUCGAAAAUUGCUAAAGGGCCUACCUAACUUAAAUAUUAUGUUCUAAAUGCCAUAAGCCAUAUUAUGUAAUUAUAUUAUAACUUACGCAUUUUUUUCCGAACAAGAAGUGAACCAUAGCUUUUAAAUUCGAGAGAUAUCCCACGAAAAUAACUAUAUAAUAUAUAUUAUAACCGUUGCAAUGUAUCAUGAUAUAAUAAAGAUAAAUUAAAUUUUUUUUUUUUUCUUAUGUACAUAUUUUUCUCAACGAUAAGGAUUACCAAUAUUAAUACUCGAUUUAAAUGUUUAUAUUUUGGUAAAAAACUAAAAAAAUAACUUUCUAUUCUUGAACAAUUUUAAGAUAGCCAUUUUAUAGUGGUGUUUAUAUUUUUCUGGAAAUCUCUGGAAAGUUUUAAGUUUUUCUGUUUAUUAAAUUCAUAAUUUUUAAUAAUUUUUUAAAGUUUGGAGAAUAUAAAUUAAAAUUAUGUUGCAGUCUGCAAUUGCAUUCACUAAUUGAUUAUUUUUAUGGCUUAUUGACUGUAAUCACAAAUUUAAUGAAAACAAUAAGUUGAAUCAUAAAAAUGUUCAAAGAAUAAAAUGUCGCAAUGGCAGUUUUUAUAGUUUCGCUAAUUACAAUAGGUGAUGGAGGUAAUUUACAAUUAAACAUAGUACGAUCAUUAACAACAUUUUAGACACUGAGCGAAGCAAGGAAUGUAUUGGUUACACAAUGAUGUUUAUUUUUUUUUAUAUGCUGUGUACAAAACAUACUACCAAAAAUUUUGCUCUAUUUUCAAGUGAAGCACUUUUUCUGAAAUAAAAUUUGACUGUAGUGGUACGUUUAGAAGACUUUUAAAGUACCUACUUUUUCGUUUUAAACUUUAAAUAUAUUGGUACAUUUAAGUUUUCUUGAUAAAAUUAUUUUCAGGAAAUAUGCUAUUUACACAUCAUGGUCGGAGAAAGAUUUCUAUUAGAAAAGUUGUAACAGGUAACAGUUGUAACUCGUAUAGUAAAAAUAAUCCACGCAAUAUAAAAAAAAAAUAAUAAUUAUAUUCUUGUGUAAUAUUCUUAUACUUGCGUAUUGGGUAAUAACUAUUAUCACUUGCUCAAAUUAAUAGUCAAUUUGUAAGCGUUUUUACGGAACGUUGUUGCAUCGAAAAAUAAUCGUAUAUUAUUGUUAUUUUUUUAACGUUUUUGACCCCAUCACCGUUGUAGAAAUUGUAAUUUAUUAUCAUUUGGAUGUUAAUAAUUAUACAUCAAUAUAUCGUCGCCGUCACAUAAAAAGUCACCAAGUGAUUUAAAAGUUUAGAUUUUGUUUUUCUUUGCAUUACGAACGAAGGUAAUAUUUGUAAUUUAAUUAAGUAAUUCGGUAAUAUUGUGUUUAUUUGUUCUACCUACGGGAAAGAAAAAUCUAACUCGAUUUGUUAGGUCUAACUCAAAUAAUUAUUUUUCCUGGAUAACUCGUUAAUAUUCUUUAACAAAUGUAUCCGUAAAACCAAAAAAAAUAAAGUAGAAGGUCUAUAAUAAUUAAUACCUACUGCGGGUUUUGGUAUUUCGAUAAAUUAUUAUAAUAUAAACCACUGAAAUUUAAUAUACGGGAACGACAUAGUUUCCUUAUAAAUAUAUUAUUAAUUUAUUAUAUAUUAUUUUUUUAUUAUUAUUACAGUAAAUCUAAACGAUUGGUCGUAAAUAUCCGCAGUGCCGUUGGUACUUGACGUGCUAUAAACAAUUUAGGGGAGGAUCGAAAUAAUUUUAGUCUCGCACAUAAUUUGAAUAGGAUACCGUAUUCUCUUUAAAAAAAAAAAAAAAGAAGAGAAUGUUUGAAUAUUGCAAACACCUAGUUUGACAAGCGUAUAUUAUUUGAUAGCUCCAUGAGUAGGCAUAACUGCCGUUUUAUUUUUCUUACGGUAAAAUGAAAAAUAAUGUUUUUUAGGUUCUGAGCGCAACGAGCGAUGUAUUGGAUUUACUAUGAUAGGUGCGAAUGUUCUAUGUUUCUAUGUACACAUAUUAUUUGAAACAGAAAUAAUAUGUAUAAAAACUCAAAUUGUAUAGAUUUCAACAGAUGAGCUAUUCUUAUAACAGUAAAAUUACACUUGAGUCCAAGUGAAUCGUAUGUAUUCUUUUGUGACCUUUAAAAAAAAACUAUGUACAACCUCGUGACUUUCGAACUUAAUGAGUAAAUGGGAUUUAUAUGAAAGUGUUGUUACUUUCCUUGUGUUAUUUAAAUAGAAAAACUAAAUAUGUAAUAAGCAAGUUCUAAAAUUUGUUUUUGGUGUUACAUGUCCACAUAAUAAAUAAAUUGUAAUUAAUAAAAUAAUAAAGUAAAUACAAAAUUAUUAUAAAUGGUUAAUACUCGUAAAUACUUAUAAAAAAUAAAUAAAUAAAUGGGUUGCACAUUUUUAUUUAUUCAUAUCAUUGAUUUAACACGAAUGGAGAGGAAUUGUCCAGACAUCUAAAAGACCCUCUCUUGCUUGCGCUACUGGAAGAAAAUUUCAGGUGUCUGCGGGCCUAAGACCAUUACCUACUUGAUUGAAAUAAUAACAAUGAAAUUGCAAUAAUACCAUUAUUGUGCAAAUGUUCCAGUUUUUCCCGAGUACUUUUUACCGAAAACUUAUAAAAUUAAAAAAACAACCACUUCGACGCACUGACUAAAUUUACAAUAUAGGUUCCAGAAUAAAUUGUCCCCGAAAUCGAUCGAUCGUCGGCACCAAAUUUCUGGUAGUUAAGUUAAUUACAUUUCAGAAACGAAACAAAUGUAAAACUAAUACGCUCGGAAUCUACGUAUAAUAAAUACGGCGAACAAUAUUUUGAAAACGAACCGUUUAUACGAGACAAAUUUAUAGUUUCGAAUUUACCGUUCAAGGCGGUAAUAUAACGCAGUGAUUUUUAUAUUUUUCAAGUUUUUUUUUUCGCUUUAGCCGUUUAGUUUUAUACGCGGACUCGAUCGAAUAGCGUACUACUCGUCAGAUAAUAAAACCUACGCUUUUACCGUUCACGAGUAUAUACUAUUUUAUAUUGACUAUUAUCAAGGCGCGUAUUAUAUAGUUCAAGAGGUGUAUAGGUGUAUAGACGCCUAUCCAAAAUCCAUUUGAACGCACCCGUAUGGUCAAUUGACUUUUGGAAAACACCGAGACUCGUAAUCGCGACCAGAUUUCAUACGUCGGAUUAGAAGGCUAGCGCAUAUUGUUAUUACGGCGACGGCACAAAACGAAAUAAUAUCGUAAAAAUGCCUACACCGGAGGGUGAUAAAAAAAAUAUGUAUACGAACAAUAAAAUCAACGCCCCGAUACGAAUAAUAUAAGAAUAAUAAUAAUAGUAAUAAUAACGAUAUAAUAUAUACAAGUAGGUAUACCCGUCGAGUCGUAAAAAUAUGUUCGAUUGAAAAAAUAUCACUCGAAAAUAAACGUCGCUUAAAAUAAAAUAAAAAAAAAAAAAAAAACGUAGACGCUAUUUAUCACUUUAUUAUAAAUAUUAUUAUCGCCGUCGAUAUUUCAUGUCAGAAUGCCUGUUAUGGAUGUAAUGCGAAGAAUAUGUGCCUAUUCGUAAGAUUGUGAUUGUUUUUUUUUUUUUUUGUGAGCCUGUAAACAACUUUUCUACCAGAUAUCUUGCUCCGGUUGACAACUUUAUCGAAACUCUCCGAAUAGCAUUUUUAAUCUAGUUGCUGCAUUUAAACGAUCGUUUUUUUGAUUUCCCUGUAUGGUUUUUUCAAUAAACGCGAUAAACUAGUAAUUGUGGUGCAAAUUUUUUUGAUUUCUGCAGAGUUAUCUUUACAUCAAAAACAAAAAUACGACUAGGAAUACACUGCUCAGGAUCGUUUUUAGUUUAACAAUAGUUUACCGUAGGCGUGCAGAUGUAAAUUCCCUUAUUCCGUCUUCCGUCCUAAAAUAUAACGAUACACGUAUCAACUAUGUAUGUCAGCUAUUUUUUAUAUACAAUUCAAUAAAUUAUAUAUUAAUAAAUAUAUGUAUUAAUCCGCCGAUAAUAUAUAACUUUUUAGAAAUAUAUUUUUUAAAUAAGUGCAUUUGUGUGUACUUACAAAUGAAAUCUGGUUGGAAAACCCAUUUCCGAAAAGCAAUUUCGAUAGUAAUAUUAUUGUUUAGUACCGUUUUUUUUUUUUUUUUUUGCCGGAUUCUUGGGCGGUAAGUAUAUAUAUAAUAUAAAAUAUAAUCUCACACUGUCUGUAUGAAAAUAUAAUAAUAAAUAAUAUACAGUGAUAAUAACGCGUGGUGUACGACAUAUUUUUAUCGAAUCGAUUCGUUUCGCUCUAAAACAACAACGCGCAGCUCGGGUCACUAUCGGGUCGAUCGCUCGGAAAUUCGGCCACCAGUCUUGAAAAAAUAAAAAAAAAAAAUAAGUGCGGUUUUCGAAUACAAUUUUCCGUCGUUACAUUAACGUAUUAUACGGUCGGUUAUUGUUAAUACGUUUUUUGCUUUUGUUUUUUUUUUAUUAUAUUUAAAAUAAAGAGUGAUAUUCGUGACACUAUUAUAUUAUAACGCAAAAAUAAAAUAGAAAAUCGAAUACUGAAUAAAAAAAAAAAAUAGGUAGUUGAUACUGCUGAUGGGUGUGCCGCUGGUAUAAGUGGAAAAUUGGGAAGAUAGGAUACAUACAGCAAUAUUAUUUUUAUCCAUAUGCAACGAUAAACCAUUGCCCGCGAAUGAAGUUUGAAGUGAAGUUUGAUUAAACAUAUUUUAAAAUGCUAUGCAUUUUAUGAAAACUGUGAAAAUCACGAAAUUUCUUGUUCACUAUUUUCCGCAUUAUGUGUGUUUAAAACUUGUUGACUCCAUAAAAAUGUUCCAUAAUUUGAGUUGAAAAAUACGGUCAAUAAUUACAAUUUGUUUUGUAGUUACGAGAUAACACAAUUUUCGAUUUAAAUUAUUCAAAAAUUCAAUACACAUAAACCGAACUCUUUCCAGAAUCUAUCGUAGCUUGCAUAUUAUACGCGAGGUAUGUAAACAAUUUAUGAUUCUGAACUUGUAUUGAAUUGUAAAAUUUAAAUUUUCCAUUUCGUUUUAACUCUUUAAAUGUUAUUAACCAGAGAAUCCGCACAGCAAUGUUUAUAUUGCUGUUCAUAACAAAUCUGGAAACCGGAUAUUGGAAUAGCCUUCAGUAGGUACGUCGGUCUCGACCGUCGCAAUAUUUUGUAAUUUCCCGAAAUGCCGUCAUUUAAGAGAAAUUUUCAAUCGUGGAAAGAGGAAACCGUCACAAGGAUUUCAGUCAGGCGAACAAGAUGUUAGGCUGCUUAGCUCCUCGUCAAUCGGAAAGCCAAUUCAGUGUGUUGCCAGAUUUCUACGCCGCCAGUCCAAUUAUUUUGUUUACACACCUCGUAAAUUAAUGUACCCUCUAUACUAUGAUACGGUUCCUUCCCAACUAUACACCCACACCAGCGGUACACCCGCGGCGCAACGUAUUUUACUGGUUUCCGUAAGGAAAUCAACCGUCAACGUUCGCUCGCGGCGGAUUUGUCCCGAGCCGAGUACACGAUACGCGUGGCGCAGCCGCGAUGAGGGGGACCGCGAAGGGUUUCGAACGAAACGCGCGUGAACUAUCGCCGUAAACAUAAAUAUUACAAUAUUUUAAGUGUGCGAUGGUACGCUCGAGCGUAAGUGCCGCAGUCUCCGGGCGGUGCAAGUGGUGCGGGGACGUGUAAAUGCGGACCGACAAGUGCGAUUCCGGACGGUUAAAUUUACCACAAUAUACGAUUAUAAUAAUUAUCGAGCCGUCACGGUUUCCCCCGCUCCCCAACGACCACGUCCGCUCGGAAAGGCAGGGCGUACAAUAAUUUGACGACGAUUAUCGUUGUUAUUAUUAUUAUAAUAAUUUACGUACCCGUACCGUAUAAAGCAUUCGGGACAUGGUUCGUGCCGAGGAUUUCCGAGGGUUUCGGCCGAUCGCGAACCUGUUGUCAGGGUCCGUUCGGACAGCGCAUCGGUGUAGUAGGCAUACCCUACGCAUUACGCGUGCAUCGUCCGCGCGCCGAUUCGCUACGCAUCGUAAUGACGUUGUUCCGCGUUCGUUUGUCACAAGCUGCGCGCAUUCAGGAUACGAUUUUCGGAAGGGGGGGGGGAGCGGCGGGUUUAAAAUAUUUUUAAUACGUGAACUCGUUGUUGGUCUUUGAUAUAUUUUAAAUAUAUAUAUAUAUCUACUUUCAAAAUCUCGUGGGGGGGGGUUUAUCCCUGACCCCCCCCCCUGUAUACGGGCUUGGUUCGUGAUAAACUGUAUAGUAAACUGUAAUGCGGUGCAUACUUAUACGGAACGAUUGAAAACAGAAAAAUAAACGAAACAAUAAACACCGCCAUAUUUUGGUACACGGCUGCAACACUCACGCAGUUGUAGGCGGCCGGGAAUGCGGAAGAUUAGAAAAUAACUAAUCGUUUGUUAUUCGAGCGUCUGUCCGUUUAUGUAAAACAAACGGCAAAUCAUCGGAAACGAAUAGAACGAUUCUGAGCAAUAUAACCGAAGUUCGGUAAAAGGUGUCUCGGUAAACAAAAAUUGAACAUAUUUGUCAUUAAUAAUUUGUUCUACGAUAAUAUUUGUAGUUUUACAUCCUUGUAAUUUCAGUCAUUGAACUGCACUCUGGUCAAAAAAUUUGUUUUCUGGGAUAAAUCGACGAGCUUUAAAAACUUUUUUUAUUUAUGUGUACAAAAAAAACAACUCAUUUUUAACAACGCCAAUGAUUAAAUUGUAAGUGAGAAGUGAAAUGAGGAUUUGUAAAACUUUUAAAUCAUUUUUUUUGUUCGGAUAUUUUUGUUGAAAUACCUUUUUCGAAACCUAAGUGCAGUAUGAAUGACCAUUGUGUAUUUUCAACUCAACUAAAUUUUAUUAAAAUAAGCGCAAUUUGACCCUGUAUUCUCAAAUAAUUUUUGUUCAGUGUAGAUAACUCUGCACCGUUUAUUUAGAUUACACCGGUUUUUUUCCGCAUCGAAUCGAAUAAUAAUUACUAUCAUUUCGUUAUUUAUGAUUAAUAAUCUGAUGGAUCCAUUACCUACAGUCCGUGUAUUAUGUUGUUAUACGGUCGUACCUACACAUAGUGUAAUAGUAUAAUAGUUGUGAUCGACUGUGAAAAAGUCAUUCGCUUAUAAUACCACACUUUUGAAAUAAUUAAUAACUCCGAUGUCGGGUUCGAACUAUAUUACAUUAUUAUAAUACCUUUAUAUAUGUAUAUAAGUUUAAUAGUAAAAUAAGUCGCCGCUUUUUUUUAUCUUUUUUUUAUAUAUUGAUAAAUUAUAUUAAAAAGGUCUCGCGAGAGCAAAACGUAUAUUGUACAGGUACACUUUAGACAAAGUCGUUUGGCGUAAAUUAUAAUACUCAUAUUAUUUCACGACCGCGCAAUAAUAUUUAUCUCUGUACUCAAGGAGGUUUUAACUAGCGCAGUUGAGUUUAUCUCAUAGAUAAAGUUAUCUGAAACAUAACCUAGAUAACGCAAAUGUCGUAUCUUUAAUUUUUUUUACGUUAUAACUAAUACACACUAAGUGAGUCAUUCCUACUAUUAUACUUAGCGUUUAUACAAUAGUUAUAUACUAUCGUUUUUUAAUUUUUUUUUUUUUUUAAUCACGCUUUAACCUAGGUCAUUCACAAAUAUGUUGUAAUAUUAUAAUUUGUAUAGAUAUACUAUAAAAAUCAAUUUUUUCAUGGCAAAAAAAAAAAAAAAAAAAAAACAAACAAAUAUUAGAGAAACUUAACUCAUAAAAUAUGUUUUGAAUCUGCAUUGCCUAUUAUACUUUGUAUACAUAAUAUUUUUUAGAAUUAAUCUUUAUAAAUUAUCUUUAUUAUAUUUGUGCGUUACCUAAAUAACUGAAACAUUAUCUGUCACCUAUAGCCAUUAUCUUUGUCAUUUAUCUAGAUGAAAAAUAUAAUGGUUAUCUUUUCCAACACUAACGGUUUUAACGCAGGAUAUUAUAUGAUACAUUGUAUAUUAUACACUAUUAAACCUUUAUCGAAAUUUAUCGUCUACUUCUAUUUUAUAUGUGGUACCUAUGUGAACGCACCUACCGCCUACCUAUUAUUUUUAACGAUUUUAUCCCUCCCCUCAAACUCCCGGAAAAAAAAUAAAACCGAGAAUAUAUUUUCUUUGAUUUAUACAAAUACCUAAAUUAUAUUUUAUAUUAUUGUAAUCGAGUAAAUCGAAAACGGGCAUAUGCUUAUCGAAUAUUAUUAUAUAGAACUUAUACAAUGUUAAAUUUACCUGCGAAUAUAAUAUAUUAUAUGUACUGCAAUUUGACUAACGCGAUGUUUCGAAUUUAUAUGCACGGUCUAUAUAUUAUUAUUAUAUAUUAUGCGAGGAUUCGUAUUGGCACGGUGCAAUAUUUCAAUUCGAAACCGUUUUGUAUACUAUACUUGAUUCACGAGAUAGGUACCUAUUUGGCCGUAAUGUGAUAAUAUUAUAAUAUAUACAUAUAUGGAUGAUAUACGUAUAAUAUUGUCGUUAUUGUACAAUCUAUAAUAUUAUAUAGAAUCUACUGUUUCAAUAGCGUUUACCGUAAUGUCUAUACGGCUUGAUUACGAUUCCGGGUAAACUAAAUACUUAUCGUUAGAUAGCGUUGGAUUUAAAUUCCGUUUUAUGAAACGCACACUUCAGGAUAAGUAACAGUUAUCCACCGUAUUCGUGCGUGCUUAAUACAAAUUAAUUUUAGAUUCUGAGUGUAGCGAAGAAUGUAUUGGUUUUACAAUGAUGUUUAUUUUUUUUAUGUGAACGCUUUUUCUACCAGACAGCUUACUCUAGUUAUCAAGUGUGGCACCUAAUCUGAAAGGAAACGUUCUUCGCGUGGUACUUUAAAGUAGUCAUUUUUUGAAAUGCUCAUUGUUAUUCGAGGUAAAGGGGAAAACCUGAUUAUUUAGGUUAAAAAGAUUGAAAGAUUAAAAAUAAGAUUGUCAUUGGCAACCGUUUUUAUUUAUUUUUUUGUUAUUAACUUUUUAUUAUUUUAAAUAAUCUUGUUUAAACAAUCAUUGUUUUCAUGGAAACGUACAUUGUCGUAAUUGUUUUACUGUAAUAUGACAUAAUUGACAAAUUAACACUAUCAUCUGAACUCCGCUCAGAAUCGUUUUUUUUCGUUAGCAACAGUUUGUUGUUGCUUACAGAUAAUCAUUAAAUUCCUAUCUGUCUCCUACUUUUUCAACUUCCCACUUACAACAGUGGCUGCACCCACGUACGAAGUAUAUCCGUUUUUUUUUUUUUAUUAACACGUCUGUUUUUAACACUUGAUUUUAAGUCCCUUUUUUUUAAGUGACUGAUCAACACAAUAUUUGAGAUACAGCUAUAUAAAUUUUAUUGAAAAGUUAAAAAAUUUAAAAGCAUGACUUUAAAAAUGAAUUAAUUCGACUUUUUUAUAAAUAUAAUCAUACAACAUAUGUUUUUUUUUUUUUUACUGUUUUAAGAUGGCUGUAUCUCAGUUCAUUCCUGGUGCAAAAAAAAUGUCUAUUGAUUAAUGCCGUUUGACAACAAAUAGUACUAUUUAGUCUUAUAAUGUAAAUAAUUGGUUUUGUAAUUAAAAAAAAAGGCAUUUAUAUUUUGUACGGUCACAGGGAGAGUUUAAACAAUUUUAAUUUAUCUUAAAGUAUAUCUAUUUCAGUAUUUCCUAUCACCUUCCAAAAACGAAAAUUAAAUCUAAGGUCAUUCGGUUGAAAUAUUUAGUAUUACCCGGAAACAUAAUCACACUUUAUAUUGAACCGAAUUAUAAUUUUGAAAUUAAUUAGAUACGAUAUAUUCAUAGGUUUAGUGUUAGAUUUGAUCAACAAAAUAUAUGUAGAUACAGUGGAAUGUGACAUCAAAGAGACCACACGUAUAGUUUGGUCAUAUUAACCAUCACCCGUUAGGUUUUAUCUACACAACAUACAAAAAAAAAAAAAAAAAAAAAAAAUGCUGACACUGCUGAUGGGCGUACCACUGUUGUAGGUGGGAAGCUGGAAGAUAUGAUAAUAUACGGAGCAAUUUAACUUAUAUCUGUACGCAACAAUCGACCAUUGAAAAAAAAAACGAUUCUAAGCAGUGUAUUAUUUGUCACAUUUUUUCCCUUGUUUUAAAGGUAACCCCAAAAUCAACAAAGAAUAUACAAAAAAUUAAUAGUUUUUCCCAUGUCAUAUUUAAUUUAUGAUUGAGAAAACUAAAAAAACGAUUUCCGCAACUCAAUCAACUGGGUCAAAAAUGGUAUAAGAAAAUUUACCCAUGUCGUCAUAUAGGUACUCAGUAAAACAAAGAAAAUCAAAACAUAUUUUACAGGAGAAGUGGAAAAAAAUUUACCAAAACAAGUCAACAUUUCGAGGAUUUUCUGGAUAGCCGACGAUAAUAUUUUCAACGUUGAUAUAUUUUAUAAUAUUAUGUUCAACUUGUAUAGCUAAAUGUAUCACUUAUUACCAAGGCUAUCGCAACGUUGCAUGUAUAAAAAAAAUAUGUCAAAAAUAAUUUUGUAUUUAGCCAACGAGAAUUCUAUACAUUCAUUUGAAAUUUUUUUUUGUUUAUAUAGGAUAGGUACUCGUCAACAUAACAGUGAUCAGAUAGAAGAACGGUUAAGAAACGAAUAAUUGAGAUAAUAACAGUUCCAUAUGGAUUUAAUAUAGGUGAGUACGAAACAAAAUACGAUAUUUUAUACUGAAUUAGUACAAAUAAUUAAUUAACAUUAAGCGUGAAAUCGAUUAAGAUAAUUUUUACAAUAUACAAAAUUAAUAUUCCAAAAAAAAAAAAAAAAAUGCCCGCAAAGGAGUCAAUUUGUAGUACAUUGUUUUAUAAGUUUAGCUUCUGUAAUUUUUUUCCCUUCAUUUUUUGGUCUAAAUGCCAUAAUUGUAUGUACAAGGUGAUCCAUUUAAGUGGAUACACUAAUUUUCUCGAAAAGUAUUAAUAUUUUUCAGAAUUUGAAUCUUUUGAUUUCCAUCGACGAGAUUGACGAGACUAACUAAUGUUUUAUCUAUGUCUUAAGUAUCAUCGCGAUGUACGUUUUGUUAAGUAAAUAAGGUAGAAGUCAUAUUUAUUAUAAAUAAACAAAUUAAGCAUUAAACCAUUAAGCAAAUAUGUUAUUAUUUUAUUUUACUGUAUUGAAAACUUUAAAAAAUUGACUAAAGCCCUUCUCCACUGGGACUAAAAAAUUAUACUCCACUAAAACGCUGGUAAGAUUCUGGUGAGUCUUCGUAUUUGUAAUUUGAACGCCAAAAAUAUAAUAUUGUUUCGAGCCUGAAGAAUUUAAAUUAUUUAAACGUGUUUUUUAAUAUUAUUUUUUCUUCAUACCUCGCGACAUCGUCUUAACGAUAAAUUCAAAAAAAAAAAAACACCUUAUCCACAGCGUACCAACUAUGUAGCUACGUCAUAUUGUAUCUCCAGGAUAUUUAGAUGCUAUAUCUAUAUGAGAAAAAGUUUCCUGUGAAACUUUUUGGAUACGUUUAUACGAAAAAAAAAAAAAAACUUGAAAAAAAAAUGCCUUCAUUGUAUACCUACACUACGACUACUAGCACCGUAACUGCCGCUCGGUUUGGGACCUAAAAAUGUGCAAUAUUCCAUGGUAUAAUAUAUUGAAAAAUAAACGAAAGGUUUGUAUAUUUGGUUUUGUUAAAAAAAAAAAAAAAAAAAUAAUGGUACCUUGUAACUAUAACAAAACAAGUGUAUUAAAAAUUAUUUUCUUAUAAUAAGUACAGAUUCGAAAUAUUAGUUUUGUACACGGAAUAUGACCAUUUGGAUAUAUAUUUAGGUAUAUAUUAAGUAUUAUGUAUUAAGUAUAAAACUAUAUGCACCGGGGUGCCACUUAUUUUUGAAGUCGUUAUUUUUGAGGAAUGCAUACCGGAAAUUCCAUUAAAUAAUAAAUAGUGUCUGUAAUGUUUGAGCUCGAUGAAAUAUAAUUAUCACGUAACGAUGUAAACUCAAAAUAUUAUGAAAAACCGUACAAUUUCACGUUUUUCGGUAAUAUAUUUUAGUUUUAGUUUCAGCAAUUUUUCUGUAUUUUGUAGAUAUACCUCGAAAUUCACUGUAAAUAAGUUUUAUAGUGUAUUUAGUUAUUGCCUAAAAAAUCUAAACUAAAACAUUUCUGUAAAAUUAAAUAUUUCUUAUGAAAUUCGAUAUAACUAUUAAAAUACUGACAUUUCAUUUAGAAAUAAAUGCAGUUUAAAUUCAAAUUAUAUUUUUAUUAUACUUUUAAAACAUUAUCAUCUUUUGAAAUACGCAUAUUAUGCGCAUAUACAAAAAAAUUUAUUCCUGUAACGCGUUUGGGGUGUUAGGUUAUGUUAGGUCGGAUGAUUCACGGGUGAUUGAAACUAAGAUUUAAACAACAAAAUACUUCCGAACUUGGUGCCACUGUUCUUGAACCUUCCUCUCAAUCUCAAUAGUCUCGAUUAGGUAAUUUUCCUCGACGAAUUCCAAUAAUAAUAUAUUAUGUUAAUAAUUAUUUUAUAAACCCAUGGUUUGGAAGUAUCUAUGCUCUGUUCUCGCCAUUCUCACCAAAAAGUACAAAAUCGUGCAGCGAGAAAUUUAUUUGCCCGUACAUGAAGUAGAAAAGCAAUAACAUUUCUUCUCGGGCGUGAUAUAAAAUACAUAUUUACGACGGAACGUGUGUAUUAUAAUAUUAUAUGUAUAAUAAUAUAAAAUUAAUUUAUUGGAAUAAAAAUAAACAGCGAGAGUUUCCGACACGAAAAAUAUUAAUUUUAAAAUACCUGCCUAAUAUAAUAUUUUAUUACUACUAAUAAGAUGGAUGGUAAAUAUAAUAAUACAUUUUGAAUACUGCGUGUCUGAUAAUAUAAUGUUGUUAUAACAUUUUAUACACUGCUAGGAUUAUAUACGAGGAUUAAUUUUGUAUUAAUUUUUUUUUUUUUUUUUUUUUUUUUCCCCUUUUCUGGNNNNNNNNNNNNNNNNNNNNNNNNNNNNNNAAAAAAAAAAAAAAAAAAAAAACAACCAUUUAUUAUAUUUUAGUUCAAAAAUUAUCAAAAAAUAUAUGGAAAAAAAAAAUUGUAUUAAGAUUAAAAAAAAAUUAGGUACACGGUGAUUCGUAUGCAAAAAAACUACGACAAUCGCUACUCUGCCAAUGACAGUUAUAAUAGUGAUAGUUGUAGUUUUAUCGAUAUUUAAAAACUGAAUAAUUUUACCGGUGAAAUGUUCAUCUAUUUCAAAUCAUUAUGUAAUAAAAAAUAGGUAUUGAAAAAAAAAAACGAAAUGAUCUUGAAAAUUUUGUAACAAUUAACCAAAAAAGUACGUUCAUUGAAAAAUCGCGUUACGAAACGAAUUUAUAUUUAAAAACAUAAUCUAUAUUUCCGAUUGCAUACCCGGGGAGAGUCCGUUGCUUAUGCUUACACGUUUUUAAUUUUUUAUAUUUCUUAUUAAUAACACGAUUUACUUUGAAUUUUUAACCAUAAUAAUUGCUCCGGACAUCAAUUUCAGUGGGAGUUUGUGGUAGCGAAUUUUGUUUAGUUAAUAUAUAUUGAGGAGAUCGUUAUUUUCAAAAUUGUUUCCCCCUUCUCUCUGCAUUUCGUUCACCGUUCGACUCCGAUAAAAGUAUAGAGACUAGGGCUCAUACUCGGGACCUGUGUGCACCUGGCCACAGUUUCAGUUGAUCAGGCACUGUCUGCAGUCUCUUGUGUCGGAUUUCACUUAUUCUAUGUACUCCGAAAAAUUCCCGCACCCCUCUGUUCGAUCCUACCACAAUAUAGUAAUCGUAUUGCACGUGGCAUAUUAUUUUGGUGAUCGUGACUACAUCGUAUACCGUACACCCAUACCUAUACAAUACAAUAUAUUAUAACCGCAUCGAUUUAAAUUUGUCUUCCAUGCCAACUAUAUUAUAUACCUAUGCCGCGCGACUUGCCAACAUUCGACUUCUAUUAAUGUCACUUGGCCGUUCUAAUGUGCAAUGGCAAUUAUGCGCGCAUGUAUACGCGUAAAUAAUACACACGGGUACAUAAUAGAUAAAAUAGUAAUAGUUGUCACGCACACCUAUACUGCGGCAUUGCGUUAAAAGAUUUGUCCGACGUCGUCAAAAAAUAAUAAAAAGAAAUGCCCGUUACAUUUGUGUCAAACGAAAAGAGCCGAGCUUGACGAUGGGUGUGUCGCUGUUGUAGGUGAAAAGUUGAGAAGGUGGGUACACGUACAAUUAUUUGGUUUGUAUAAGAUGUCCUCCUACAUUAUUUUUCAAUAAUUUUUCUUCGAAUGUCUUAAAAAAAUCAUAAACAUAAAAUUAAUAAAACAAAAGAUCUGUAUGUACAUGACGAUAAAUGAUCAAUUACGAAUUACAUUCUCAGUGAAGUUUUGUUUAACGUGUUUUUAAAUAUAGUGAUUUUCAAGAUUAAAAUAUUAAGUUCUUAUAAAAUUGGUCAAAUUGUUUACGAUUGAGUUUUAUCUAGUCUAGAAAAGACUUAUAUAAGUACUUAGUAAACAUUUCAGGUCUCAACGAUUAUGUUUAACCGAAUUUAACCAAUAAAAAAAUAAAAUCGAAAAUAAUAAUAACGGCCGUAUAUACCGUAAACUUUAUAGUUUUUCCUAAGUUUUUUCCUAUGUUUUUUUUUUCAAUUAAGAAGAAAACUACACGGAAGGUGUAAAAAAAAAACCGACUUUCUUACGCACUAACUAUAGACUAAAUUUACUCUUAAAAUUUAGAGCAAGAUUUUUUUAGUUGUUUACCUCAGAUAACAUCUUAAAUAUCUUAUUUCUCAUUUAUCUAUGUAAAUAUAAAAUAUAAAAAUAUAACCGCAUACAUAAUUAAUCUGUAUAAAAUACAACAUUGAUUACAAAUCGUCAAACAAUAACAAUAACGACUAAUUGGUCUUUCGAAUAAAUUCGUGUAAAAUGAUCUGAUGUUAUUUUCAAAACUCUAAAAUCUUCCUUCCGUAUACAGACACAACGAUAACAUUUGAUUUUCAAAUAACAACUCAUAAUAUUAUCGAAAUAUGAUUCUAAAAGAAAAUAACUUUAUAUCACUAAAACAAUUUUAAGCAUAUUAGUAUAGCAUCAGACUUGAAAAUUAAUUUCACUAAAAGGUCAGGAGGUUUUUUUUUAAAUGCUUAAACUUUUGUUCAUUUCGAAUUUGUUUUUUUUCUUUCAAAUUAAUUUCAUUUUUAUAUUUGGAACGCGUAUUACUAUGUUUUUAUAUUUUCAUUAUUUCAAGUACAUAUUUGAAAAGGUAAUCGAAAUCACUGAAAUAUUUAUAUUACAUCGUCAUAAUACCCGGGUACAUAAAUCGGUCAAAUUGGGAGAUUUUUUAUUCGUUAAACGUAAACUUUUACUAAAUUAACCCGCAGAACCAAGAAACGUGAUAUGCAAUGCGUACUUAAAGGUAGGUACGUGUGCACGGAUCGACCCGGACAAGUGGACGUAUUUACUUUGUUUUUUCUCUCAUUUUAAAUACUCCACUUGGCCCGACGAUGAUCGGUACCUAUAUAAUAUUUAUGGGUACUUUUAAAAAAAUAAACUCGUUACGGGGAAUCCACGGAGGGAUAACUGCAAAAGAAGAAAAAAACACUAUUAUCCGUACAACGUGUGCGGACUGCGGACAAAUUACGUGUGGGUUUGCAGUGCGGGUCUCCUCCUUGGGCUUUUUUUUUUUUUUUUGAUUAACUCUAGUCGUGUGCGGUCCGUAAGUAGAAUCCAACCUCCCUACCCCGUAUACACACACUUUUUACAGAGUUUUUACUCGAUUUAAUAUUAAAACGCCUUUGACGUUUUCCAUUAUUUCCCGUCUCUGUGUGCAAGAGUAUACACGUAUAGCAGCGUGUGUCGUCACGCGCGUUUCGCAGCUCUCGCGGGAUUGAAAAAUACAUUUGUGUGUACCUAUACGUACGCUCGCUGUAUAAUCACAAUUCACUUACGAGUUCGACGGUUAAUAAAACGUACAAAACGAAUUUGACAUUUGUCAUUAUGUACGUGGCACGCUAUAGUAAUAAUAAUAAUGCUAUAGCAGUAAAGAGCGGGAACGGAUUAUAGCGGAGCAAAACAGCCGAUUUUAGUUUCGAACAUUUUCGUCCGCCUGACGCCGUUUUCGAAAAAUCGUAUAAACAAAAAAAAAAAAAAAAAAAAAAAAACAAUAAUAAUUGUCGACAAAAAUAAAUAGCUUGUUAGGUUAAAAAAUUAAAUAUUAUUCACGUAUUUACCAGGAGGGUUGAAUUAAAAUCAACAUAUUGUGAUAAAUGUAUUUGAAAGACUCGUGACUGCGGAUAUGGAAAUGUUGCAGAGAGAUAAACAAAAACAAAUACUACCGAAACCAAAGUAUAAUAUACAGCAUACAUUUUGCGUUUAAAUUUUAAAAACAUUUUUUUUCGCUAUUUUUUCUUUAUCCCUUUGUUUUUGGUCUUCAAGUCCGGAUACAAUUAUAUUUCAUAUUUAAACACAACGUAAUUGUACACAUUAGUAUCUUAAUCGCAGACAUUAUAGUUUAAUGGAUUGCCCAUCAACAUGUUGGGAAAAUUAAAAAAAUUCCAACACCAUAAUUUACGUAAACUAAUACCAUUUAUUUAUGGAGUUUUUUAUUUUGAAAUCAAAAAUAGGUAGUUUUACUCCUAAAAAUGAGGGUGACAAAAAAUCACAUGACUGUAACAUUUUGCCGCUGCUUGCAUCGUACGUUUUCAGAACAAAAACGAUUUUUAACAGAUUCGAUGUUUCUCGAAAUACCGAGUAUAGUCACUCGAAUGGAUCACUCUGUAUGCUUAGCGUAUAAUAAAUAUUAAUAACAAUAUUAUUGUACAAUAAUCGUAUCGAUCGAUUUCCACGGUGGGAACGGCACCGCUAUACCACCGCGGUGUCAACCGUCACACUGUUCGAGCCUCAGGUGGCGGUGGUGGCGACGGCCGCGGGAAAAGUCACACGACAAUAAUGACAACAAUAAUAUAAUAUCGUGAUCCACGAAACGGGGUAGGGGUUGGCGGAGCGGGACAGUGGUAAUGAUUGACGUCCGAACGGAACGCGACGAUAAAAAUAAUAAUAAAUCAACCGAAUAUCGUAUUUAUUAUAUUAUUAUAGUCGAAAAAUACAUGAUAUAUAAUAAUAAUAAUAAUAAUAAUAUAAUAGUCGACGUAUAUAGGCGGGGGGGGGGGGGGGCGGAAUAAAAUAAUAUAUUAAUAGUAUUAAUACAAAAUAUACCCGAAAUAUUAUAAUAGAAACGGAAAAUUCCCCGGUCGAUCAACACCCUCCAGUCAACCAACCUGCACUAGGUAUAACAUUGUACACACAAUAUACAACGACAACAAUAUCGUAUAGUGCACGGACUCGUCGGUGUAUAUUAUUAUUUAUAGACACCGCGACAAGUCCGUGACUCUUGACUCUCGAGGUUGACGAAAAACAAAAAAAAAAAAAAACAACAAAAUCAGUCACGGCGUGUCGACGUUGCACCGCCCGGUAAGCCUGGUUUGCAUGAAACGAGUAACGUUUUUUUUUUGUGUUAGGCGAAUAUAGAUGUAAUAUUAUUAUUAUUAUAUUAUUGUUUUUUUUUUUUUUUUUUUGCNNNNNNNNNNNNNNNNNNNNNNNNNNNNNNNNNNNNNNNNGUCGACGUUGCACCGCCCGGUAAGCCUGGUUUGCAUGAAACGAGUGACGUUUUUUUUUUGUGUUAGGCGAAUAUAGAUGUAAUAUUAUUAUUAUAUUUUUUGCGGUAAAACAUUCAAUUUUUAAGCAAUAAGUGAAAUCUUACUAUGGCGCGGAGAGAGAGGGAACGAUCAAAGACAACAUUCGUGUCGUAUAAAGCGCAUCGGCGGUGUAUGACUGAUAAGUGAUAAGGACAAAAAGCCAUAGAACGUGAUCUCGAAUAAACCAAUAUCGCUUUGUACGGGGCUUUCGACCAUCAACUCCAUCCGCGAGCCAAUCAAAUUAACUGAAAAUAACGGUCGACCCGUUGGGAAAUACCACUUCAGGUAUAGGUCAAGGGAGAAAAAUUGUUUCACUUCUUUCGUGGAUUUGUACAUUUCUAUAACAAGGCCCCAUAAUUCAAGCACCGUAAUCUGUAUGGAUAUAUAUUUUAGAUUCUGAGUGGAGCGAAGAAGCUUAUGGUUUUACAAAGAGGUUUUCGAUUUUCUCAAGAGUUUUCUUAUUAAAUAUGAAAAACCGAGGAAAACGGAAGAAUAACCGGAAAAUGUAAGAAAUAUAUUUAUUAGCUAAGAAUAUUAUAGCUUUUUUUUUCUGGACAACUUUUCUACCAGCAAUUUUGUCCCAACAUUUAAUAAUGGCCAUUUUUCUAAAAAUAAAUUUCACUUGGGAGAUACUUUAUUAAGGUUGUUUUUAGAUUUUCUCCGGAAUUUUCUCUGUAAAUGUGAAAAACCGAGAAAAACGUAAGAAAACCAGAAAAUUCGGUACAACAUUAAAAAUAUAUUAAUACAUAAAAAUGUGAAUACAUGAAAAUACAUAAAGCCUGUUUAAUUAUUGUAAUAUAAAAUAACAGAUAUAUUAUUGACAAAGCAUCACUAUAAACUGAACUCCCUCUGAAUUGUUUUCUCUAUAGCAUUGGUUUAUCGUUACUUACAAGUAUACAUUAAGUUAUCUACAACACUGGUUUUACCCGUCCCUAUUAUCCUAGGACUUUUUUUUUCUUUUUCUGUAGACAACUUUUCUAUCAGAGAUCUUGCUUUGAUUUUUAAUAUUUACAACGGUGUCUUCUAAUUUUCUUGAAACUAUUGGUCAUUUAGAAAACUUUCAGUAAAUUACGGGCAACCUAGAUUGAGUGAUGACUUUUUUUUUUUGUAAUGGGGUGAAAAAAAAACCUUUAAUAGUACUUAGUGUGCAUAAUAACACGGUAUAAACUACCAUUGGUAAUUGUAUAGACCUUUGCAAAUAUUUUAACAGGCUCACUAGCCACCCGUUGAGACUUACUGAUUUACAAUCUUUACGGAAUUAAAGACUCCUAUUUAUUAGAGUUGUGCCUACAUUCCAGUAAAUAAAUAAAAUUUGUUUUUUUCUUGGAUCUAUGAGCCAAUAUAAAAUAGACAUUCUAGGAUAAUAGGGAAGGGGUAGCAACUGUUAUAGUUAAUUUAAUAUAUAUCUGUAAGCAAUGAUGAACCAUUGCUUACGAAAAAACGAUUCUGAGCAAAGUUCAGUUGAUAGUGAUGCUUUGUCAACAAAAUAUAUAUAUGCCGUAUUGUAGUCUAAUAAUUAAAUAGGCUUUGUAUAUUUCUUGUAAUCUCCAGACGACGCAUUCAUUUAUUUAUUUAUUUAUUUAAUGUAAUAUUUGUUUAACGUUGUGCCAAUUUUCCUGGUUUUCCUGCAUUUUUCCCGGUUUUUCAUAUUUGCUGAGAAAACUCCUGAAAAAAUCGAAAAAUGACCUCUCUAAGGUACUUCCUCAGUCGGAUUUCUUUUUAGAAACAUUGGUAUCACUAUAAAUUGGAGCUAAAUGUUGUUGGUAGAAAAUUGUGCACAAAAAAAAAAGUCGUAAUAUAUUAUAACUAAUACCUACAUUUCUUAUAUUUUCCCGAUUUUCCUCCGUUUUUUUUUUCGGUUUUCCACAUUUUAUGAGAAAACUCUUAAGGAAAUCGAAAAAUGACCUCCUUAAUGUACCUCCCCACACCGAUUUCUUUUCAGAAAAGAUACUUCACUUAACAAUUGGAGCAAGAUUUCUGAUAUAAAAGUUACGCAAAUAAUAAAAAACAAAAAAAUAAAUAAAUAAACAUCUUUUAAACACUUUGUUUUACUCCGUUCUACUUAGGAUCUCAAAGCUGGUAUGUUUUUUUCUAAAAACUAAUAUAAAUAUUUUUUUUUAAGUAUUUUAAUUUAAAAUGUUAACGAAAAUCUAAAGAAACAUAGCGUUCCUUGAAACCCGUUGUAUAAUCUAUCGACUAUAUUAAUUGAGAUACAUUAAACGAAUAAAGUAGGUACUUUUAAUAUUAAACACAUAUAUUUACGAAAUAAAAAUGAACGUUUAAUAAAAAUGAAAAAAGAAAAGAAAAAUUUAUUGGAAAUUUAAUUUUCCAUUUUAUUUAUAGGUCAGUUUUUUUUUUCCAAAGGCAUUAUACUGCCGUUAAAGUGCAUCGCUUGCCUUUUUUUUUUUUAGGGCACUUCAAUACAGACAUUAUUAUAGACAUUGCAAUAUAAUAAGUAUAUUUUAAUAAAGGGUAUUUCAUUAUUACAGGGUGAUAUUUUUUCUCGUAAACUAUUUCUUUAUGAAGGAAUUAACAUUUUUCGUGGGAAUAUUCUUUUCGGAAAAUCAAUUUUUAUUCCAUAAGCUAACCAUUACGAAUUUUGUUUCAAUUGAAAUAAUGUAAUAUUUGAUUAUUUAAAUGUUAACAAUUUCCAUUUUCGUAUAUAGCUGAAUAGUUUUUAAAUUUUUUGAAAGACACUAUGCUGUCAUAAAAUGUCAUAUUAUUAUUUUUUCAAACCAUAACUACGUUUGUCAUCAAAAUGAAUGUAUGAAUGGCAAAACAAUUGCCAAUUAGUUUAAUUUUAAAGGCGGCCUAAUUGUUAAUUGCCAAGAAACAAGAUAGCGUAUAAACGUUUUAUUUGCAAUCAAUGAAAAUAAUAAAUAUUAUAUCCAGACGCCACCGCACAAAUAAAAAUACAAAUUUAACAUAUCAUGUUACCAUAGGGAAUAAAAAAAAAAAAACCGCCCUCUUUAACCGUUGAAAAUUAAAUCUGUACGUAUUGUGCAAAAUUACAUAUAUAAAACAAGGAGCUAGGUAAUACUGCUAUUGGGAAGGCAGAACACAUACAGUUAUUUUAUUCAUAUCUGUAGUCUGUAUACAACGAAAAAUAAUCCCGAGCGAAGUACUAAUUCUGGUUUUGCCAUGUUGCAAAGGUAACCCGAAAAUCAACAUAAAUUUUACAAAUGAUUGUCAGUUUUUCACAUUUUUCGAUAAAACUACAGGAAAAUUCAUAAAACGACCUCUUCGAUAUACCUGUUAGUUAGAAAAUGCUACGAGAAUGUUUCGAUAAGGAUUUUGAUCGGAAUGAGAUUUCCGGUAGAAAAGUUGUUUACAGACACAAUAUAUAAAACCAAUAUAUUAUUGGGUUUGCUCAGAAUCUAAAAUAUUAUAACCUAUAGUAUCGUAAAUCAACAACGACGUUAACAUAAUGUAAUUGACCUGUUUCUAAUACUCGUAACUCAAUGAUAAUAUGAAGUCGUUUACAAACAUUAAAAUCAUCAAAAAAAAAAACAUCCUAAUGUGGAUUAUAUAUUGUUUAUUAUUGUUAUGCUGUAGUAUUGAAUGGACUUUCGACUAAGUCGAGAUUUAAGACUACUGUAACCAGAUCAAUUUAAGCUGCACCGCGAGUCGAAAAUCGGUUUCGAAUGCAUGAUGAACCCCGUUACCGAAUAUAGAUUAUUAUAAUAGCAAUAUGACAAGAUAGUUAGAUUGAAUAAGUGCUAUUUUUGUCAGCUCUCGAUGUCAGCUCUGCUGCACAGUGCGGCGACGGCGCCAUUUCGAAAACUGCAGACUAUUGACGAUAUAGGUUGGGCGUAUAUUAUAUUUUCUUAAUGAAAACGUUUUAGUAAAAUACACUUUAUUGCGUAUAUUAUGUUUACCUAUAUGCCUACAAUUAUUAUUCAUGAUUAUUACCGAUUUCUCCGGAGGAACUUUGUCCUUACGCAUAAUACCAUUAUCGGAUGGUCGCUGUCACUUUGCAACCGGUUGUUUGUAUAUUAUUAUAAACCGCCUAAAACAGUGACUGGCCAGAGUUUGUGUCUACCUACCAGUAGUUUUUGCGUUAUAUUUCUCUAUAUUGAAUAACAAAUAUCGUGAUUUAUGUUAAUUUUAACGUUUGACACAGGCAAAAAUCGUAAUUUUGUAGACGUUGGCGCCAAUGGUAUUAUUAGUUACCGGCUAUGUAUUUUAUUAUUCAUUUAGGCGCAGUCGACUGUGUUAUUGUACUUAUAAUAAUUUUGUCAAAACCUGUUCAAAUAAACUACCGUGGUAGACGUGAUAAAUUAGGAUUAUUAUCUCAUUUACGGCCUGCAUAUACGUACGUUUGCGGUGCGAUAUUACUUGAAUUUUUUACAUAGGUAUAAUAAAAUAUAAUAUUUAUUUAUCACAGAAAAAAAUUCGAAACAUACGAACUAAAGACGUUGCGUCGUGUUUUCAAUUAUAUUAUUGUGAAAACCGUGUUCGAAAACCGUAUGAUAUAAGUAUUUGGUAGACAAGUUUACGACCAAACGACGCACGUGCAAUACGUUUUGGUUACCCACGACAAAUUAUUAUUGAUAGAAAAUUUUCCGAUUUUUUUCGUUUUCUUAUAUUAGUUAUUGCUUUGGUAACGGACGUAUUAAUAUUAUCGAGUAUGUGUGUGCAUUAAGUACAACACGAACAUUGCAACGUACCUUGCAGUUUGAUUAGAUAUGCUUAGGUGUAUUAUACUCGUAUUAUAGUAGGUAUGUUUCAACUGUUAACGACGCGUACGUCGCCGGUCUCCGAUUUCAUUAUAUUUCAUCGUUUGGUCGCAGUAAUAUAAUUGCCUAAAUAAAUCGCCCGUCGAUUAUUAACGGUCGUAUUAAUUUACAGUGCACAAUUAAUUAAUACGCGUUUCCGCGCUCCUUAUAUAAAUAACUAUACCUACAUUGGAUUGCGUUGGACAUUUUUGCUUUUCCGCGGCGUAUAACUUUCCGAAUCCAAAACACAGCCAACCCUCCGGUAUAAAUUAAAAACUUUACGAAAAUAAUUUCUAUUCGUUUACUCACUUGUCUUAUGUACACGCCCGUCUACGUGUCAAUUAUUCGUAUUUUGAUUCGGGGAAGUUUACGGAUUAACUUCACUGCUGCAGAAGGAUUAUAAAACAAUGGGGCGGAUUUUUUUUUUUUAAUAAUAAUUAUAACAUUAGCACUAUACGAGCGUUCGAGAGAUUCGUUUAGAGCACAGUAUACAUGUACAAUAUUAUUAACAUUAGAGGACGACGCCAGAGGGCGGAGUGGACCAUCUUGGAUUCUGGCACUUGCAUACGAGCUGAUGAUCUUAAACACCAUACGGACCAGUCAAUAUAGUUCUGUCAACAAUGUCACGUGUCAAACUUAACAUAAGUGUUACAUACACUCGUAACAUUAUUUUAAUAUACUUUUUUUUUACAUUGUAAUUUCGAGAUACUCUGGGAAAAAAAUAUUCGAAUACAUAUUCUAAACCUCUAAGGUAUAGUGAGGUACACUAAGUGCUAUAAAUUAGCCCACAAAAGUAAUAACCACACCCCCUCCCUCAUAGUAUUAUAGAUAGUGUCGUAAACCACGUAAUUGGUGUUUUAAACAAUCUGCAAAAGUUAACAAAAUAAUUAUAUCGAUAUAAUUAUACCUUUUUUGUAUACAUAUAUUUAGGUACUUAAUAUGUAAAUUUUAAACACUUUGGGAAAUUAAAUUAAAUUUAAGUUAGGUUUUUUUUUUUUUAUUAUUAUUAUUGUACGAAACGAAGCGGUCCGCGCAUAUUAAUGCGUACCUCUAUCUACCUAAGAAAAAAAUAAUGAGGUUUUUUUUUUAUUUUGCACGAAAAGAUAAACGAUUUCGUCAACAAUAAUCAUAAUAAAAUGUAUAGGUACGCGAGUCUCGUUUUUUGAUCAGAUUGUAUUAAUCAAAAUAACUAUUGUAACUACCAAAGCGAUCUACCCGAUAGAAAAAAAAAGGCAUUUUAAUUUACAUUAAAUUUAUCGCGGUGUCUAAUUGAAUGCAAUGCCCGAUUGAUAACUGAGUGAUUAGAUAAAGACCGCAAGUGUUGAACAUCUAAUUUUUAAUUUCUUGUCAACGAUAUUCUAUAAACGAUCUUUACCCGAAUAUAUUUCUCGUUUUUAAAAUAUAUCCACACUAUAAUAAAUUGCAUUACGCCCGGGAGUCCGUAAGCGUACGCGUGAUGUACGAAUCAAAAUUGAUUAAGGCGAUUAUUUCUAUCGAUAUUAAUUAUUUCUCGUCAACGGACAAUUUCUUCGUUCUUAAACGGUUUUCUGCAGAGACUCGGAGUGCUUCCAGCAAUGGACUUAUACGGUGUUUUAUUAUAAAGAUGCAUUUUAAAAUAUCUGAAUAAAGAUAGGUAGAUACUCGAUAGAAUAUAAUAAAGAUUAUCUAGGCGACGAUAAAAUAACAAUAAGCGACUUCUUACUAGAAAAAAAUUUAAAAAAAAACUGAAAUCGACAACUCGGAUGGUCGAUGGGAAAAAGCAAAGGGAAAAAGCCUACGAUUUAACCGGGCGAUUCGAUUGUUUAUCACGGAUAAUUAAAUAUCAAAUUUGUUUUUAACCACGUUUAUCAUUAUAAACGUGGUUAAAAAUGAUAAAUAAUGCCAAAUAUAUUUUUCCCAUAGACAAAACACAAGUACACGACGCUAGGUCUCGCGUGUUUUACACGGUUUUCCGACUAUACGGCAUUAUAGUUUUACGAUGUCGUUCAAAACCGCGCGCGCCUGAAAAUAAUAAUAUUCUACGGGAAUAGGUAGGCUUUUAGUACACGAUUAAUAAUGCACACGCGAAUACGCAAAAUAUAUUCCCCACUGUAUAGGUGUAAUAAUAAUAAUGAUAAUAAUAUUGUUACGUAUAAGUACUAUGAACGUGUACAGGGUGAACAACACAACGCAACUCACUCCGCACUAUAUCGAAAAGUAUAAACUUUUUUCGGAAAUUAUUUUUUUCGAACGUUUAAAAAAAUAACAUUAUAGUGUAAAAAUGUUACGUUACUGUUUUGUUUUUUUUUUUAAUUAUUUUACGCCCUUGUUUUAGGGGGUGAAACCGCUGUCUGCAUUAGAUAUUCAAGCUGCCGCAAUCUACAGGUACUGGAAAUUUCAUAAACAGAUCGAGUACCUAUUAGUUAGCCAAUAAUGAUGGCGAUAGAAAAUAAAAACCGUAACAUUUUGGUGCUACUCGUUUCUUAUAAAUUAUCAACAAAAUUAAUUUAUACUUUUUACUACAAGUUUAUACGUUCCGUGACAACGAAUGUCUUAUGUUACAAGUUUAGCACCCUGUACAUCUGAGCAUAAUACUAUAUUGGAAGUCGGCCAUUAAUUCAAAACCAAGAUAAGAAAACGGUUCGUACAAUAUUUUACGCUGUUUAUGCCAGCGCAUCACACGCGCGUCGUAUGUAACAAUAAUAUUAUGUACCCCACGUACGUUCUUGCGGAAAUAAAUUAUUUUCGUUUGUAAAUCGAAUCGCGGAGUACGAACGGGUCUUCUGCAACAAUCCCGAGCGUGUGGAUUUUAGUGGAUAUUAAUCCGUGGUGACAUUUCAGAAAACGCCGUUCGUUAUAGUCGGCGUACAAUAAUAUUAUAAUAACAUUGGACACGUCCCGUUUUAUUCAGCUGUCGUAGAGAGCUAUAGAAGACAUUUUUUUAUAAAAAAAAAUACCAACUAGUUACGAAAAUACUAAAAAAAUAAAUGUCUAUAAAGUUUUCGAUCCGAGUAAGAUUUUUGAUAGACAAUUUUCCAACAGACAUUAAAUAAAAAAAAAAAAAAACAUAAUAGUAAAAUCAUAAUUUCAUAACAAUAUCUAUAAUGUAAUAAAAUGAUUAUUCUCGCGACGUAACGUGCCUGUUCCAUAUUCACGUUUAUCGGCUUAUACAUAUUAACUAACAUUCAGUGGCGUGGCGAAAUACGUUUUUUGGGGCCUGUGCCUCCGUCAAAUUCGAUGGACGUGUGUCACGAGUUAUUGGAGGUGAAAGAUUUAUGGAAUACGGACUACUAUAGAACAGUGAGUCGGAAGUAAUAACUAAAAUAAAUUUACAACUGAUUUAGUUAAUUGUUCAUAAAAGGGGCAAUAGAGGGGCGGUGGUAAAUUCAAAAAAUGUCUAUGCCACACACACAAAUAAAAAAAAAAAAACGCCACUGGAUCACAUUAAUAACAAUUUAUAAUGUUUAACUAUUUAAAAUUUAAUAACUCGUAUAUAUUCAUAGCGUAUUAACUACAAAAAAAAUUUCCUUCGAACCGGAUUUGAACCAGUGACCUAUGGAUAUCUGUGAAUUCGCCACUACAGUCCACCGCUCUACCAACUGAGCUAUCGAAGGAUGUUGAGUAGUGUGUGAAUUAAGCCAUUUAAACAAACGUGGUCUUAUGCACUUUCACUUCGAGAUACCUUGUGAUAUUCGAAUCGACAUUCGAAUAGACUAUAUUAUAGAAUAGAAUAAUUAUGCACGUAUGCGUGUGUAUAUUAGUCGCAUAUCAUUAAUAUUUUAGUUCGCUCAAUGACACGAUUUGAUACCAGAUACCCUGUAUAAAAUGUUUGAUUGGCGUGAGAUUUCUGACAGAAACGUUGUUUAUAGACAUAAAUAAAAUAAAUUAAAAUAGACGGCAAGUUUAGAAGGUACUAGGCGCGAUACAUAAGGUUAUUAAUUUCAAAUCAAUACGCACCGAUAAAUUAUAGCUAACGAAAAGCAAUUCCGAACAAAGUGUUAUCGGUCAAAUUUUUUAGAAAUUUACAAUAAUUUUCAGAAAAUUUGUCAGUUUUUUCCCAUUUCUUAGAUGAACUAGAAGAAAAAUUAAACAACGACCGACUCGACACACCAAUUAAAUAAUAAAUAAAAAAAUGUUACAAAAAAGUUUUUAUAAAUUAUUUUCGAUUAGCGCAAAAUGUAUAGUAUUAAAGUUGUUUCCAGAUAGAGAAAAAUAUCAUGCACAUCGUAAUGUAGUAAAACCAAUACAUAUACAGUUACCGAAAUACGAGUACCUACUGAACAGAAAUGUUAAAAACGUCUUACCGACUAUUUACAAAACACGAUGUUUAAUUUAUUUAGGUUCCUAUACGUCAUAAGCACAAUGUACUAGGUUACCAAUGACUUUUGAAAUUUUAUAUAGAAUUAUAGUUUAUUGUUUAAAAUGCGUUUAGAUGCCCGGGAACAUUACGCGACGGCUGAGUGUGCUUUCCUAACUUGUUUUAUUUGAUUUUUCAUUCAUCGUUUUCUUUGUGUCACUUUUGAAGGAACACAAUUUGUUACUUAACAAUGGUUUGCUACUGUAUAUAGAGUAUAUACAUAUAAUAUAGUAUACAAUGUAUAGUAGUAAACAAUAAACUCCGGACGCCACGCCGCCCGGACGGGAGGAAAUCGCAAAAUAUAUUUUCGUCAUUCGUCAUUAUGUCCCCUCGCCUUCAGCCAUUUUUGUAACAAAUAUAUUUUUAUUUUUAUUUUUAUUUUUUCGACUUUAUAUUCGCCAUCAAAAUACUACAAUAAACAUAUUAUGGGUGUAUACAAACAAUUGAAAAUAAACUCGAAAAUAAGACGUGUUUGUUUGACUUGUUUUACUCGCAGAGAUCAAACAGAAUCAAAUGCAAUUAAAUCAUAUUAAGAGGUCGUUUAAUAAAAUUUUUUAAUUUUUGUGUAUACCUAUGGACCAGGGAUGGCUAAACGGUCGAUCGCGAUCGACCGAUAGAUCGCGGGGGAUUAAAAUGUCGAUAUUAAUUUUGUUAGAAUUUUUUUUUUAUGUAAUAGUAGAAAAAUACAAAUUGCUGAUAAUCUGUUUCUUGUCAUAUUAUCUUUAUUCUGUUGUAAAUUUAUCAAAUAAUGCAAUCAACAGAGUUUAUCCCGGCAAUUGUAUGAACAAUAUUAUUAUGUUAGUCUUAAUAAUAGUGUAAUGGAAAACAUUAUUUAACUACACAUUUUAGUUAUAUUAUUUUGUACGUGUAUGUGUACUUUUAUGGCUUUUAUUUGGCUACCCGUAAUAUAUGUAUUUUAAAAUUCAAUUUCAUACAGAUUUAAAAAUAACCCAAAUUAUAAAUUCAUACGCGUUGAAGUGAUUUUAGAAUUUGUAUACGAUACACACAUUUGAGACAACGAAAUUCUUUAAAGUAUGUUAUAUUAAUAAUUAUUAGCAAUUAUUUACUCGAGCUAGACGGUGUAAAGAUAUUAGUGGUGGAAAAAAUCCAGAUUUGCUGAAAUUCUGGAUUCUGGAUUUUCAGAAUCCGAAAUCCAAAAAAUAUCUCUUAAGUCAAAUAAUAAUUUUCAUCAGAGAUAAUAUUACUAAACAAAAAUACAUUAAACAAAAUUUAACCUAACUAUAAUUAGCAUAAAAAUAGGAAUAAAAUUAAAAUAAAAAUAGUUUUUUUUACUAGUUUCGAGAUGAAACGAUGACUUAACGGCCCGAAGUUUUAAUACGUUCAAAAACGCUCGCGAUGAUACAUUAAAUCUAAAUAUUUUGUUUGAAACCAUCGUCAUUAUAAUAUAAUAUUAUUGUUAAAUUUGUUUUGCAUCGACGAUCGAGUAAACUUCCAAAGGAAAUAAAAUACGAACUACGUGAAUAUAAAUUAUAAUUCAUAAUAUAAUUUUGUUACACGCGUUUCUAUGACGGCGUCAGUUUAAAGAUAAAUCGAAAUCUAUAAAACAUUUAAACAAAGGAAUAAAUGUUUGGAAAAUGUAAUUUUUUCUAAGUUAGAAAAUAAACGUAAUUAAUAUUAAACGGUUUGUUUAUAAUGUCGAAUUCAAUUUACUGUGUAUGCCAAUUUAUAUUAAAUUUAAAUUAACGUUUUGGCGUUCAAAUUCACUUACUAUCAUAUAUUAUUAUAAAGUUGUUCAAACUAUUUAUUCGGAAAAAAAAAACAAUAAUAAACGUGCCAUUCAAAAUUAAACUCCAAUGCAGUUAAUGUACUGCAGAAGCCGCCUAGUGGCAUAUUUGAGGGGGCGGAUGAUUAGGACGAUCGCCCAUUUUCUAUUGAUUACUAGGGGUUAAUUAGUUUGUAUAGGUAUUUGAUAAAUAUAUAUAAUUAUUAACAAAAAUAAAAUUUAUAUUAAAACCACUCGUUCUCUUACUCUUACUAUAAUAAUCAAGUUGAUAUUAGUGAACGAGACAAAAAAGUAUUAACAAAUAAAGUUUAUAUGUUUCAAACAAAAACUUUUUUAGCAUACUUAUCAUUGAAUGUAUGCAAUUUUUUUUUUUAUUUAUAACAUUUGCAUAGUAAUAAAAGUUUAGUUAAUUUUGUUAAUUUACAUUAUCCUUUUCGUUUAAAGUUCAAACGAACAAUCGAUGAAACAAACACUAGUGACAAUGGUACGAUACUAGUGCGUGGGUCGAUAAUUUGUAAGAAAUGAAAAAUCAUUUGCUGUGAAGGAAUACUGAGUAGAAAUAAAACUACACAACAAUAAUUUUUCUUGCACAAUAUUAAACGUGACAUCUUACCCCCUCCCACCUUCCCAGACGUACGUCUUGCCGCUUUCAACCGCUCGGAAUUUGGAAGAUUCAGCUAUAAUAAUAAUACGUCUCUCGUUGUUAAUAAUUAGUCGACGUUUACGUGCAGAAAACAAUAUUAUCCUCGUAUAGUCCGCUCGAAUCCGUCAAAAGUCAUUUAUACUGACAACCAGCCAUCAUAUAAUAUAUUUUAGGGAUACACUUACAGGGUGAUUCAUUUUCCGAGCAGAUGUUCACUGGUUAUCUUGAAAAUUAUAUUUUUUUGUGGAUGGAUUUUCUUCUUGAACCAUAAACACAGUUCUGAAACUGUUAUGAUACAUUGUUUUCGCGUUUUAGUUAAAAUCUCGUUACGUUUUUAUAGCCAAUAUCAACUGUUGAUACUAUACAAAUUUCACGAAAUCGGCAGAAUUUUAUGGUUGAAAUGUCAAAUAAUUUCAGUUUAGAAAUUUAGGAAAUUUAUAUGAGUGUAUCGGCCAGGUUUUGUUUUAGAACAUAUGAACUUAAUGCAUAUAAUAUUAUAACAUUAUAAUAAACAUAGUAAUAUUAUAUUGUAUUCAAACAAAAAAAAAAAGCUGAUAAUGCCGAUGGCCCCUAAGGGAAGACGCUAGGGUCAAAUGGAGGAUUUAUGAGUAGUUUAAUUUAUAUCUGUACGCAACGAGAAACCAUUGUUAACGAAAAAAAAAGGAUUUUUGUCCUUAUGAGAAUAUGUAAAAUAUUUCCCUUGUCGCCACGGUAACCUGGAAGGCAGUUAUUAUGAAAACCUUUUGGAGAAUCAAAAAAUGACUUCUUUAAUGCACCAACUAGAUCCAAAAUGCAACAAAAAAGACUUCUUGUUAUUUUUUGAUUGCGACGAGAUUUCCGGUAGACAAGUUUUUUACAAACACGAAUAAAAACAACAACAUACACACUUACCGUAGUAAAAUCAAUAGAUCCCUCGCUAUAUUCAGAAUCUAAACGAUGAACAUAUUUUACAUCAGAAUAUUUUGAAAAUUGUUUUACACCGAGAAACGGCCAAUACAAUAAGAAUUUGGUGUACAGUUCUAAUUCUGUACGAUUAUUUUUAACCAAAUAACAACGACAAAAAAAUAAAAUAUAAACCGUCAUUACGUACAUUUUUCCGACGGUAUUUUCCCGCCUAUGAGAAAAAUCGAAAAAUGACCUUGACGAAAUUCUCUAUACCCGAAACCACUACCGGAGUUGAUUAUAUCAACGAGAAUUCUGGUAGACAAAUUGUUUACGGACACGGAAAACAGCACGCAUCAUAGAAAACCCAUCGAUCAAGUACAGGAAAUACGUAUACAUUCCUAGGUGGCUUUACCGUCAGAAUCGAAUACGGCCGUGUCCAUUGGGGUCCGAUAUCGUUUCGCUCGUUCGAUGAAGGGAGAGUAAACCGCGGUGGCGAUUUCUUCGACGUCCUACCCGAACGACAGUAAGAAUAUUGUUUCACGCCCCUAGUGGAAAUGAAAAUUUUCGGCGUAAAAUUAAUACUUUAUUUUUCAGCCCGUAAACUGUAAAACAAUAUAUAUAAUAUUAUCAUCCAAUUAUUUCUUUAGCCACUGUUUAGAAAUCAAGCGCAUCAUUACGCACCGCGGCGUUUUGGAAACAAUUAGCAUUACGUCAAAAUCAGACGACCGUUUCUCCCUUUUCGCCCGGCUACAUCAUCGCGACGGGCAACAACUUUCGCGGCAUAUACUUUCUCUCCGUUAUAAUUGUUGUUUCGCGUUUUCAGUUCGUUUUUGUCACAAACGUCUAAAAACUUUACGCUUAUUAUAUUAUACACAAUUUGUAUACAGCAAUAUUAUAAUUGUCUACGCGAUAUUAUAUUUUAGCAUUAUGCGAAUUGCUACUAUAAGACAUAUCCGGCCGGUACCCCGAAAAUCGACGGAGUCUGCGGGUGCGAUUAAAAAUUAUUUGUCGUCUCUUGCAUAAAUACUUAAGACUUAUUUCAGACAAUGAAAAGAAAAAAAAAAAAUGUUUUACGCGGUCAAAUAAUGCGUAUUGUCCGUGAUCGACUUCAUUAAAAACGAUAGACAUUCUACGCGUUUUUAUCCGUUAUUUUUGUCGUUCGAUAAUAUAACUGAUAUAACGAUAAUCACAUAAAAUACCUAAAAACAAACAAAAUUAUAAUAAUACCGAGAAAUUAUUUGUUUUGCCGAAAUUAAAAUUCAGUUAUCUUUAAAUAUUUAGAUAUUUAAAUUAAUUAUUUAAAUAUUAAUAUAACUUUAAAUAUUUAAAUAAAUGGAUGUAUCCGUCGGUUAUAUACUGUGCGAAAACGCGCAAUUCAAUUUGUGUAGACGAUUUUGCAAGAUGAUCGAAAAACAUUAUUUCAAUGAUUUAAUCUCUCCAAGUUAAAUAUUGGCAACGAACGCAUAAUAGAAAUAGCAUUCGAUCGUCUAAUUGGUUUUUAAUUGUCCGUGAUCAAAAGUCUGAUCUACUGAUAUUGUUUUACUUUAGAGCUAAACGUGAUGGAGGAUAGUGGUUUUGUUUUUCAUCUCAAACCCCGUUGCAUACCCCUCAAAGACUUCAUAAUUAUAGAGAGAUCGAGAAGAUUGCACAGACACGUGUAUUACAUUGUUAAGUACACGAACAUUUUGUUUUUUUACGAUUUAUAUUUUCUGUUCGAUAGUCGAAGACGGCAAACGGCAUUUUUAUUUAAAUACGUCAUAGAUGGGCUAUAAUCGAUACAAUUAAAUUGAAUUGUAAUUUUAAGGAACACCUUGUUAUGACGCUCUCGCGUUAAAUCGUUUUAAACGGGAUACGGGAUACAACCCGUAACGAAGAGGAGGGCAAUCCUAAUUCGUCGGUAAUUUGUUGUUUAUUAAAAACACCGAUUUUUUCAUCGUACCGAAGUCUAAUAAUGUUCAAUUUGUCGUCAACAGACAAAGCUUUUCUUUUUACUCCUGCACUACUAGAUGACGUAAAGCACUUGUCAAUAUUUACACCAGAACACGAAUUAUACGAAACAAAAAUUAAAAUAUAUCGUGUAAUGUCACGUGGGCCACUUCAACACUCGAACACGACUAAUAACGCAGUAAGCCAUGUCAUGAUGUUUAUAACAAAAUAUCAAAAUUUCCGUUCAUAAUCAAUCAAUAGUAGCAAUACAAUAGGUAAUAAUAUUUAGAUAAGUACCAUUUUUAUCGACGUAUUAAACGGAAUUUUUUCAAUAUUAACGAGAGGCACGAAAGGCCAGGAAAUUCAGCGCAUUAUGCGGGAUUAUGUAUUAAGCGUGAUUUUUUUUCAAUGUUAAAAUAUCUACAGGUAUCUACCCCGGGACCGGAAAAAUCCGCGUAUUAAGCGGGAUGGCUUGAUAAGGGGGAGGUUAGGUUUUAAUUAUCUUAACGAGGUUUUACUGUAAUUGAUUGCGUUUACGGUAUUUUAAAAGACGUGAUGAUUAUGUUUAUUUGAAUUGUUUUUUUAGGAAUUUCCAACGAUUUCUCUGAUCCCGUUUACAUACACUCGCUUUCAAUUUUGAAUGUAUGUUUCGAAAAACUAGCGGAGGUAAUAGCCCUGGUUGCCCCUCGUUCGGGUAAUCUCAUUAACAAAGUAUCUUAAGAUGAUAUUCGAUAAAAAAAAAUACAUCGAUUUCAGUAUCGCAAUACAAUAGGAUACUCGAUACUUUCCAUAACCGUAUCUAAGAUAUAAUAUUGUACGUACAAAAUACGUAUUAAAAGAACACUUGUAUGAGACCGCCUAACCCUGCUGACAGUACGUAUAUCGAUUCAUUAGUCACGCGGUUUUGCACCGGUUACAAAGGUUUUAAACACGAUACCGACAAGAAAUUAUCGUAUUAUUAUUAUUAUUAUUAUUAUUUACUACAUAGACACCGGGAAAUUAAAUACUUUAAUCGAUAACUGUAUACCUACUAUAAGAUAUCCAUACAGAUAUACAUCGAUGAAUUAACUAUACAAUUGCAUAUUAUUAUUUACCCGUAGCCAAUAAGGUAUAGUGGGGCGUAUCGAAUCGCGGGAAAAACGAUUUCGAUAAUUAAAAGUGCACUCGUCAUCACCGUUACAAAAUAUUAUACUUGCCGAAAUUAGUAAUCAAUUUACAAAAUAUAAUACUAGCAAAUACGCCACCGCGUGGUGUUUAUAUUAUCCAAUGAUGAUAAUAAUAUUUAAAAUGUAUUUUGUAAUUAAACGUCGUUGAUUACUGUUUAUCUGCGGAACGUAAUUAUCGCUGUUAAUGUACAUUUGAAAAAAUAAAAUGAAAAUGAUGGUAAUAAUGUUAAUUGAAAUAUCAUAAAAGAAUGAAUUAAAAAAGAAAAAAAAAUUAUUACCUUCGUAAUAAAUAUUUAUCAUUCGUAUCGAUUUAAUAUUAUAAAAGAGUUCGAAUACUUAUAAAGUUAAUUGUACUAUUAUAGGGUAUCUAUGGACAAUAGUGAACGGACCGAAAAGAUAGGUGCCGGCGAUGGAAAACAAAACGUUAACGACGGCCGUAUACGUAACUAGAGAAGAUGAACUUCGAUAUAAACAUAAUAUUAUGACAAUAUGGAUUGCCAUGAGGAUGAUAUUUUGGCUAGGACGACAAUAUUAGGUACAUUGGUUUCGACUGAUGUAAUCCGUCCGAUCGAUUUCGGACCAACAUGUACGGAUCGCUUAAACGCGAAAAAGGCGCGCCCGUAUAUUCAAUGUCUAAAUUAUACUUAAAAAAAACUAAAAGACAAUGUCAUUUAUAGCUAGAAAUGUAAACGAAAAAUAAUACAUAAUAUGUACAUACCGACGGUGUUUUGUCAAAAGAACGAGUACCAAUAAAACAGGAAAUCGGGAAAAAAAAAAUAAAACUGUUUUGCAAAGAAACAACAAAACAGUUGUUACUUGUUAAUAAUUGUUUAUCGCGGAAAGCAAUAGAAUUACUCGUACACAUAAUACCUUGUACACAAAUUAUACACGCGUUGAAUGCGAUAUACGCCCUUUUAACAAAUCAGUGUUGAUUUAAUUAUAUUUUAAAAGGACGCAUGGAUAUCUUAUAGUCGACAUUACCAACUUAAUUUUCUGUAUUCAAAUACGUCCUUUUACAAGUGUAUGCUCCUAAUUUUUCGACACAUUUUUUUUCGAUUUUUCGUGGUACACACCGUAAAACGAGUUUUUAACAAAGAUCAAAGUAGUGGGGGGGGAGGUGAGGAUGAACGGAAAAGUAAUCGACAUUCGACUUAUCUCUUAACCUAAUACGUUAUUACAGUUAUUGUAAGAGUAUUACUCGGUGUAUUCGGUCGGUGCCGGCGCGCGUUUACUAAAUAAAUAAUUACAAUAGUAUCAAUAUUCUAACAACUACGGUAACCGCGGUAUUAUCAUAACCAGUUGUCAGCUAUUCUUAUCACCCGACGGUCGUGGCAAUAACCGUUUUGUCGAGUAUAACGUCCCUGGCGCGCACCGGAUAUCUAACGGAAUUGGCAUCGAAUCAACGCGCGAAACAUGUAUAAUAAUAAUGAUAUUGUAUAUAGGGUAUAAAGGUGUAGUUUAGUAGUAUCAUUUGUACAAUAUAUAUAUAGGUAUAUACAGUGUGUAUCAUUAAUGCGAUGCUAGCGGAGAGGAGGCCGAAGAGGCGGAGUCGGCGAAAUCCGUGGGAAACAUAUAAGAGCCCGGUGGAAGAAAAUUAAGUGCGCGGACCGGGUUCGUGUCCGCGCGCGACUACGACUGCUAUACAGCUCGCGAUAGGACUUGAUGGUUUUCCAAAAGGGAAAUAAAAUAACGGCGGGGGUUUUUUUUGGCUACGACCAGGCGUUUGUGUGUCGGAAACGUGCCAAAAAUAAACACGCGGAGAGCUGCGGUGUAUAUAUAUAUAAAACCGGCCGAGCGUGAACGUAAGGUAACUUUGGUCUGGGGAGGAGGGUGGAAGAGGAAACAAAAAAAAAAAAAAACACCAACAAUAAAAACAAUGUCAAAACAAUCCGGCUUUGUUUCUGGAACCGGAGUAGGUACUACACGGGGCGCACGUACACACACACACAGGAGUAUAUAAUCUAAGGAUUUGCGCCAAUUCCUAUCGCCGCUUUUUUUUUCCAAACACCGUACGCGAUUUCUUCAAAAAAAAUCCACGUGUGUUUUAAUCCUCGAACGAGAAAGAGUGAUGCGUACAUAGUGUUCAGAAUCCCUAAAUUAUUUUUUUCACAUCCGCGCUUUUCGAUCAUUGAUUCUUCGGGUAUUUCAAUUUUAAGAUAUCGCUGAGAAAAAACGACGAUAAUUACGGAAAAAUACACCUGUUCGUGUAAAAACUACGUUGGUUAUGUUUGUUUCGUAACUAUUUCAAUCUGGACGUCUUUAAGGGACAAAUAAUAAAAAUAGUUAUUGGACACAUAAUAUAGUAAAGUGGAUAAAACAAAGCUAUUAGGGUGUCUUAUGUUGGAAAGCGUUAAGGAAGUCGGAAAAGAUUUUACCAAAAUUUAUAAAAUUUUGAAAAACUAUUUUUACCUUUUGAUGGGCGCCUUAAUGAUAAAACUUUCCUUUAAUCUACUGCACUAUACUUAUUUGAUGGGAACGAGUAUGGCGGUUUUUACGGAAGGUUAUGAUGUUUUAGACCAAUAAGCUGGAGAAAAAUUCACUCGAUUUUAAUUUUAAAAACAUAUUUGAACUCUUUGAUUUCUUGUCUGUGUUUCCAAGAAAAAUUUGAUUUUUUUUUUUGUAUUUAAUUGAUUAAUUUAAAGUACCACGAUGAACCUUUUUUCCUUACAAAAAAAAAAAAAAAAAAAAAAACAAAAAAGAUUUAGUGAAGAAGUGUGUGAAGUUAAAUAAUUAAAAAAAAAAAAAACGAAUUACUUCCGACCGCCUUAAGAAAAACGACGAAUUGCACGCUGCGAGCUUUGGAACUUCUAAAGAAAAACAAAAGAAUAACAUUUUUUUUUACCCCUCUUUUUACGCUUGGUAUUGAUGAAUAAAUUGAUUUUUUCUCCCUUUUCAUAACCUAAAUAUCCAUCAUCGUACCACGAAACCGCUGUGAACUGCAGUUGUGCGUUCGAUAUUCUAACGAUGCGUAUACAAAUACCUAAUUGGUUUUUAUUAUCUACGCACACAAUAUCAUUAUCAAAUACACUAAUUGAAAUUAUUCCGUUUCAUUGACUACUCUUUAUUUUUUUUUUCCGCAAACGAGCAAACGCGUGUCUGGCGCUGCAGCGAACAGCAGUUUUUUGUUUACCGCGUGCGCGGUUGUACGCCUCGCAGUGUCCUUAAAAUAUAUUUAUAAUAUUAUCGUAAUCAUUUGAGAAUAUUAUGUUAUGUAUGAAUGGUGUUUACGGAGAAAAGGGAUACGUUGAUUUUAGGUUUUGAGCGGAAUGAGAUGUGUAUUGGUUUUACAAUGAUGAUUAUUUUCUUUUUUUAUCUGUGAACAACUUUUCUAUCUUGCUCCGAUUUACAAUUGUAGCACUUUUUCUGAAAUUAAAUCUGGCUAGGAUAGUACUUUAAGUAGGCCAAUUUUUGAUUUUACCAGGAGUGUUCCCAAUAAAUGGAUAAAACCGGGAAAAACGUAGAAAAAAAUGGAAAAAUAGGUACAAUAUUAAAGAAAACAUACAAUGCUUAUGUAAUUAUUUUACCAUGAUAUGAUAUAUAUAAAUAUAUUAUGUUUUCGACUUCACUCAGAAUCGUUUCUCGUUAGCAAUAGUUAAUAACGUUGUUUACAGAUAGAGAUUAAAUUAUUAAAUUGCCUAUAUGAUGGUGGCUGCACCCGUCUCCAUUAUCCUAGGACAGCUUUUUUAGGUGUACAUUCUACACAUUCCCGACUUCCCACACCCACAAAAAUGACACACUUAUCAGCAGUUUAUAGCUCUUUAUUUGUUUAAUGAAUCGAAUUGUUCGUUUUCGUGUCUAGAGAACGAUUAAUAAUAACGGAUCUUUUGGCCGACGAUAUAGACAUCCAAAAAUAUCAAAACACGCUACGUAUGCCCGGCAUAAGUGUGUAACAAUACAAUUCUGUGCAAAACACACGCUCGGGCGGAUUAUACUCGAAAAUAUAAGCAUACCCUGUAUGAUAAUACGCUACAAUUGAUUUUACAUUUUAAUUGUGCCAUUCGUGUUUUGCAGUCUUCGUGAUGUCCGUGAACCUGACCAUACCACGCGUGUGGGAGACGGUGGUGACGCUGGUUGUGGUGAUGGUGGUGAAACGGAGUAUUAGGUACACGGGUGUGCGGUCUCGGAUCGCAAUUCCCGACGAAUCGUAAUUGCGUUUCGCAACGCGCGGUGUCGACCAGAGAGGAUCCUCUCUGCGGUGGCGGCGGCGGCGGCGGCGGCGGCAAAACCCCGGAACCCGCUAUUUUGUAUCUGAACGAUUUAUGGCCGGGAAAAUUAUUAUCUCGUUUACUUCCCAACUAUAUUACACCGGCAAACCUGCAGCAGUAUUAUACAGUUGCCCAUUAAACACGUUGGCAUCACGCGUAGGUACCUACCUAUUAUAUAAUAUAAUACCUUUUUGGUCUUUGAUUACACCACCGACCCCCGGCCCACUAACCCCUCCCGCUCUCGCCGACACCCAACUCUCCUAGUUUUAUUGCGUGAAUCGUCGUAUCAAGGCUCGUAUUAUCGCGUUAUAUAUUUGUGUACACAUACGAAAACGUCCCUUAUAUAACGUUACGAUAACAGUGUACCUACUGUAGUAUGUGCGAGCGCAUAGUUUUUAUAAUAUCGAUGCGUUUUUGUACGAGUCCGUUUCGUCGCGAGUGUAUCCAGCGGUUAAAACUCGGUGGAGGGCUCGGUUUCUUAUUUGAGGUUAAAUUAUCAUUCCCCUUUAGUUUAAGUCUUCAAAGUCCCGGGGGACACUUUAGUUAUUAUCAUUGAGACACAUUUAAUGAAAUAAUCUGAAAAACUCGAAUUAAUUUUAUUAAAAAUAAAUUCAUUAAUAUACCAAUUAUACUUACACAAUACACGUGAUCGGACUCUGUUUAAUUUGUUGUUACUUACCGGGCGUAGAAUAAUAUUUGAAGGCGUUGUUUCUGAACAUUUGGUUAGGUUUAGUUCGUUCAUGGAAACGUCUCUCAAUUUUCGGUAUACACAGUCUUCGAAGUUUUUCCCACUUUAACCACCGAGUACAUCAACGAUGUGAGAAAAAAACACCAACGUUGGCGACUAAAAACACGGUUUGACGUCGUUUAACUAUUGUGAAUCUCGCGGCCAAAACUAAUAAUUGAUUGCCCCCACCUGCAGUGAUUAAUGGGUUAUACGCGUAUUAUGGUAAUUAACGAAAUUUUACCGGCGCAUAAAAGCGGACAUGUUUACCAACUUUGCGGUGGCGGCGUUUCGGGAAACAAAAACUACGCUAUUACGGGACGGUCGGUGAGCUCAAAUAACGGGAUUAGCACCCCAAAAUCUAAGGUAAAUGUCUAGAUGAUAUUAUAUAUGGUUUCAUAGAGAUAGUAGCUAACCUAUAACCUUUGUACGAGUAAAAUUUUAAAACUCCCGAACUUAUAUAAAAGAAAACGAAGAAUUUAUUAUAGUUUAAAGCUACGAGUAUAUCAUUAGAAGGUAUUAUAAAAUACUAUAUUUAAUAUCAAUUUGUAAUAAGACAUCGAUUCUAAGCGAUACUCGGUAAAGUAUAAAGUAGUUAUUUUAACCUGGAAGUUGCGUUUUAUUUAAUUUGUAGGCCACGGUAGCCCUGCAGAAAUUAACAAAACUGAUAUAUUAUACUAUGGUUAUUUGUUGUUGAUAUUUGGAAAAACUGUCGGGAAUCUAGAAAAAUUAAAUAAAGUACAAUCAGGCGGAUUAGAAUCCGCACAUUUUAAGGUAUGACACGAAUAAACCGGAACAUGUUUACUAAGCGAAUUGUUUCCGAGAAUAAAAAAAGAAACAUCUUAGUAAAACUGAACAACAAAACAUUCUUAUAAACUCUUCGCCCAGAAGACACAUUUUUUAUGAAACAAUAAAUACCGAAUGAUUAUAUAAUAAUUUAACGCUGUAUCCUAUAUCAUAAUACGCCGCCUACAAACAAAUUAAAUCUUCAACAAAAACCAUCAACAAAUAGUAAAAUUUAAGCGUACAAAAAGUAGGUAGGGUCGGGUGUCGAAAGUUGAAACUUCCUAUAUGCGCAUUCAUCUUUAAUACUAACGCAAUGCGUAUAAAAAGUUGCGUUUCUCUGUGUUUUUUGGGACGUCAAAGCCUUGAAAACACCCUUUUCCGGUAAAGUUCAUAUUUAAUUUGAAUAUCACUUUUAUCAUUUUGAUUCGCUCAUAAAGACUAUACUUUCAUUUCUGCGUUCGAGUUCAUUCGGUCCGGAAGGAGCCACUAGAAUUUUAGUGUACAUUCAGACGCGAUCCAACACAAUACCCAUACGAUGCGAUAAUCUCUCGUUUACGCACAACGAGAAACGUUUAAAGAGACGAUUAGAAAAAAAAAAAUAAUAAUAAUAAUCCGACAAUAUUGUAAUUGUCGCGUCAUCGAACGGAAUUAUUAUUGUUUGUUUGCAUAAUAUGAUAAAAAAUACAUUAUUUUAGCUUUUAAUUAGCGAUGCCGUAUGCCGGUAAACGAUACGCGUUUUUACUUCCGUCCGUAAUAAUGCUGUAACACUUCAGAAAACAUUACCGACGUUUUAUCGAGGGGGGCGGGAGGGGAAAGUACACAUCUAAUACCUAUAAUAAUAGAUAGGUAUACAUCAUAUUAUCACCAUAAUAAUAAUAAUAAUAAUAAUAAUAUCGGUACAUAUAUACCGCUGUAGCUGCAGCUGUUUUUGUGUAUUACUAUGCGUACACAAUUACAGUUAAUCCACGAGGAUUAUUACUAAUUGCUCCGGCGGCGGGCGUUCAUUACGAGAUAUUUAAAUUCCGUUUUGUUCAAAUAUUAUUUUGUUGUAUAUAGCCGGUGCGGCUGUAUACAGGUAUACGAACCUCGCGAAACUGCUGCUGGUGCAGUGGCAGUGUUGAUCUUUUUGUUUCUUUUUUUUUUUUUUUUUUUUUUUUUUUUAAACAAAUAGAACAGAAAAUCGAAACCAACGGGGAAAAACAAUAACAUAAUCAUAUACGACGGCACUUUGACACGCGUGGCCAAAAAUAUAUAAAGAGUUUGUAAAAACGAAAAAAAAAAAAAAACAAACAAACAAACGGACAUACUUCGCACGAUAGGUGGCCCACUGUUAUAGGUGAGAAGUUGGGAAGGUAGAGGGGAAAUGUAAUGUAUGUCCGUAGGCCAAAAUUAAUCAUUGCUAACGAAAAACCAUUCUGAGCUGAGUUCGGUUAUACGUGUUUUGAAAGGCCGUAAUAUCGACGAUUUGAAAAUAAUACAUUUCGUAAAUGAACACGUUUUUCUUACGUUUUUUUUUCCCGGUUUUUACAUUUAUUAUAAAAAUUUCUAGAUAAAUAAAAAAAUGACAUUCUUAAAGUAUCACUCCAGUCUAAUUUUCUUUAAGAAAAAAUGCUACAAAUGAAAAUCGGAAAAAAAUUUCCGGUAGAAAAUUUGUUUCAGAAUCUAAAAUUAAUAUGUUUUGAAUCCGAAUUGCCUACAGUCUUAAAAUUAUAUUUUAGAUUCAGAGCGGAGCGAAAAAUCUAUUGGUUUUACAAUGUUUAUUUUUUUUUUUUUUUUUUUUUUUGGACAACAUUUCUACCAGAAAUUUUGCUCAAAUUUACAAUGAUAGCGCUUUUUCUAAAAUAAUUCUAAUCAUUUUACCUGAUCAUUGUAAAACCAACACAUUCCUCGCCCACUCAGAAUCUAAAACACCUAAAAUUAUUAUGCAAUCUUAUUAAACUUUAUUUAUUUGUAUUAUAAUUGGUAAUGUUCAUAUUAUUAUAGGGCAUAUUACACCGAUUGUGUCGAAAAUCGCAGGUAAAAACAAAAAACAAAUAUAAUACAAUAUACUGUUGAACCAAAAUGAAAUAAUUAAAUAGUAAUUAAAAUUAAUAAAAUUAAUAAUAUUUGAUUUUCAUAUAUGUUAAAUUUUUAAUUGUUAAAUGCAUUUUUUAUAAAUAUGUUUGAGUUCUUUAUGUAUCUUAAAUAAAAUAUAAAAAUGUAAUGAAAAAAUAAAAUAAAAUUGUUUUGUAAGUGCCAAUUUUAAAUGUAUUAUUGUCAAGAUAAUCUUACUUGCGGUUGGGGGGGGUGUAAGAUUGUUCUUGUUUUAUCUUAUACCCGGACAAUUACACAAUAGGGUAACAUUUCCGUAAUGUAAUCUCACCCCCCCCCUCGAUAAUUUUAUCGUGGGAAAUUGAUUCUAUUACACCGGGUUUAUAAUUUUUAAAUGUUCACUCCAAGAUAGCGUUACGCGCGCAGUGUCAGUUCGUGUACGAUUUGUUUCACUUGAUCAAACCACUUAAUAUAAUAAUCUUUAAAGUCUGUCUGUAUGAUUGACUGUCCGUUACAUAAAUUUACAGUUUUAUUCAAAUCUUGGUGAAACUUGGUACACAUGAAGUUCAAAAUAAGAACAAGAUCUACUUUUUAUCUCGAAAUUUAACCCCUAAAUGGUGACUCACACAUGGUUUUUAAUAUUUUAAUGCGAACAAUGUGUAUGAGAUGUUGUAUCGAUUUUGUUUUUAGACGAGCCUGGGAAAAACCGGCUAAUUUGGAUAGUUUAAUAUUUUAUUACGUUAAUAUCUCAUUUUACGAUAGUUCGACGAACUCGGCAAACGAAUUCAGAUAGACUACUUUAAUACGUGUUAUUAAUUUAAAUAUACACGGGAAAUAAGACGCGGCGGUAGGUACACUUCAUAUUAUUUAAAACAAAUUAUUAUAAUUUGACUGCAACGGACGAAAUAAGUCGUGUUUAUAAGAACAUACGUACUACGUCAGUACGAAGCGAAAAUGUAUUACUUUUAUGAUAACGACUAUAAUAAAGAUUUUGCAUCGUUGUGAUUUCAUCUGUUUCCAGAAAUCACGUAUCGCCAACGGUUUUUUCCGCCACACUACCGCAUUCCACUCACUCUAGACUGUGGGUCACUAUAUUUGUAAACAUUCGUGUAUAAUAUGACGUGUAAUAUAUCUCGGCUAGGUAACGAAAAAAAAAAACCAUGAGCCAUUAAAUAAAAAUUGUUUUUUUUUUUUUUUUUUUUGUAACCGGCUUUUGAAUUCUUAUUGUCGGGUAAAGUGUUAAGAACGAUUUUACAAUUUACUCUUGAUGAUCCUACAUNNNNNNNNNNNNNNNNNNNNNNNNNNNNNNNNNNNNNNNNNNNNNNNNNNNNNNNNNNNNNNNNNNNNNNCUACCGCAUUCCACUCACUCUAGACUGUGGGUCACUAUAUUUGUAAACAUUUGUGUAUAAUAUGACGUGUAAUAUAUCUCGGCUAGGUACCGAAAAAAAAAUUGGUUUUUUUUUUUUUUUUGUAACCGGCUUUUGAAUUCUUAUUGUCGGGUUAAGUGUUAAGAACGAUUUUACAAUUUACUCUUGAUGAUCCUACAUUCCCACUUCACUAAACGUGUCUGGGCACGCUACUGACUCAAGCGUUUUGUAUCAAUCCGUCCAUCCAUAUAUCCAUCUUUGGAUGAAUAGAUCCAAUUGACUACAACUUUUAUAGAUUUAUUGACACCGGUAUCUUAAUUGCGUCACAUCCAAUAGCGUCAUUUGUAUUUUCGUGGUGACCAACAACGUUUUUACUGGGUACUUUCGAAAACGUAUACACUAAAAUAAUGCUUUUUAAAACGUUUAGUUGUGGUAAACAUUUGGAUAAAAUAACUUGAUUUGAAGUUAUAAUGACGUAGUAGUAUUACACAUUAAAAUGAUGUAAUGUAAACCGUUUUCGUCGUUUUAUUUCCCGUAAUACUGUGUCGAAAUGUUAUUUUUGUUACACAAUUGAUGUGUUGAAUAUAUUUCCGGGCAAUAAUAAUAAAACAAAGGCCGUAAUCCUGAAAAUUUGUUCGAAAGGACUUUUAUAAAAGGUUUUCAGCGAAGUGUCAAAGACAUAGGUUUUACAACAAAUGAGCUUUAUUAUUGCCACUACUGCCUUUUAAAUUUAGGUACUCAUAGGUAUGUAAUAUAAGAAAUGUAUUUUGCCAGUCGAUAGACCGUAUAGGUACCGCGCAGCCUUUCAAGUUACUGAUAAAAAUUGUACCAUUUAUUCUUUUAUCACGCAAGUAUUUAUUUUUUUAUGAUUAGAAAAAAACCAUAAAAAAAAAAAAAGGAGAAAUUUACAGCACUAACGAUUUCGUUAUUUUCGAUUUUUUUCUUUCAUUAUUCAUUUAAAAUUAAUUGGUAAGACCUAAAAAUGUCCACAGAAAAAUCAUAAUUACAUUUUAAAGCUGCGAUGCAAUUUUCAAAUUAUUAUGACGAUUUUUAAACUAUUUUUAGAAGUUUGUUUAACUUUUAUUUGGUUGUAUAUGGAUAAAACUGUUUGCUAAAUAAAAAUGUUUGAAAAUUUAAUGCAAUGUCCAUUUUAAAUUAUGCUUGGUGGUGAAAAAAUAAUAAAAAAUAAUAAUCUUAACAAGAUUUAAGCUUUGUUGUUUUUUUUUUCUCUUUUAUAAUCGUUUUAAGUUCAAAUUUAAACGAAAAUCGUAACAAUUAUGGCAUUUUAAAACAUGUUCAACCGAACUUGGCUUAAAAUCGUAUUCCGUCAGCAAUAGUUAGUAGUUGCGUAGAGAUAAAAAUUAAAUAAUUUUACGUGCCGUAUCUCGCCAACUGUUCACUUACAACAGAGGUAUACCCAUCAGCGGUAUCAGCUCUUUAUAUUUUUUUUCUCGCGAUCACACUAGCCGUAAAUCAUGAAAAUAAUAACCACUUGUAUCGAAACGUUGUACCGCAUGACGUAUUUUAGCCAAUGAAACAACAGUUGUAUUUUAAAAAUGAAAAUAUACUUUAGUUGAACAUUACCUACCAGUAUUUAGCUUAACGAGCUACAAUCAUUCGAAUAACGAUUUUUGAUCAUCCUGUAAAACUACAAAAACUGAUAUACAGUAUUAGUGACAAUACGACCGUAGAAAGGUUUUCAAUUAGAGAGGAGUGGUAAUGACAUUUUUUCAUUUUUUUAAUAAAUGCCUGUCAGACACUAAUUAAAUAAUUUCCUCUCUUAUCCGUCAUUUCGGUAAACUAUUUCCAAAAAAUCUUUGGAGUAAUAAUAAUUUUUGCUCAUUAUAGCCUUUACAUAUUUGAGGCAUUUCAUUUUCCCUUGAAAUCGAAUAUUAUAACGAUUAAUGUAUUGCAGCAUUUUAGCCGCGCUGUUACAAAAAAUGGUUUCUUCUCGGGUACAUUUUUAUAUUUUUGUAUUAUUGUUCAAUGAUUCGUCACCAUUUUUCGAUUUUUUUUUAAAUUAUAAUACAUAUUUCGUAUUGUACUGGCACGAGUAUAUUUUCUAUUUAAAAUGCGGCCACGCGUUUUAUCCGUGAGGUAGGUAUAUAUGCGAAGCAUGUCCGACUUUUUAAAUCGAUUUUGAUAUUUCAUCACUAAUAUACAUUUUCGUUUUAAAGUUACGAGUAGGUACGAGUAGGUACGAGUAGGUACGUCCGGAAUUGACGAGACUCAAUCAUAUUAUAAUGAAAUAGUCGAGCAGUCUCGAGGGUCAUUUUCCAUUUGAAUGUAAAAAAAGUAUACUUUAUAUAUUUUAACAUUUUUUCCCAUUUUGGAUAUUUUAAUGCAUAUACUACAUUAUAUUUACAUACCUAAGCGUAUUAUGUGUACAUUUUUCCUAGAUAUUUUUAGUUUCUGAGCAAAUCGCGGAAUGUGUUUCAAGUUUUACUAUGAUAUGGUUUUUUAUUAUGUCAAUAAACAAAUUUGCCACUCAAUAUUUUUUUUCCAAUAAAAUAUUUCAAUCAGAAAUUUUCUUGUACCAUAUUUAACCUAAUUAGUACGUUGAGGAGUUCGUUUUUUGAUAUUUCUCGCAGUUUUAUUAACAAAUGGGAAAAUUGUUUUGUUGAUUUCUGAUUUAUCUCGGAAAUAAGGGUAAAUAUAUCAAUAUAGUUAUAAUACUCUGCUCAGAAUAAUCAGAAUCGUUUUUCAUUAUUAGCGAUUUAUACAGAUUUUACAGUAUUUUACAGGUAUCAAUUAAGUUACUCCAUACAGACUUCUCUUCUAAAAUACCUAGUGCAUACACGACAGCAAUAUCAAACUUUAUUUUUGUUUGCACUUACGAUAUUGAUUAGACGAUAUAUUAUUAUUAUUAUAUAAAUACACGAUUUUAAGUUUAUAUCGAAUCGAAAAUAAAAUCGUUUUUGCCGUGUUAUUAUAAAUCAUCAAACGCAUUGCUUCGCAUAUCAAUACUAUUAUUAUGUAAAUAGAUAAUUUUUUUCGAUUUAGAAUAUAAACCAUUUUCUGCACAAUAAUACCUAUAAUGAUGAUAAAAGACUUUUCAAGUUCGAAAAACGAAUUUGAUAAAAACUUAAUAUACAUACUUAACCUAUAAAAGUGUAUUGUUAUUUUCGGUUUUUAUUUGGUAUAUUUAUACUUAUUUUGUUUUCAAGAACUUAAACCAUAAACGAACAUUUUAUCUUCACACGUGCGAUUCGUAUAAAUACAAUAUUAUAUCCGUGUUUGCAUAAUAUAUAAUAAAUAAUAUUUAAAAUUAUCCGCAUAAAAUAAAGCUAUAAACAUUUCAUUUUUUUUUUUUAUUUUUUUUUUUUUUUAUCGGCGAUUUCGUAACGAAAAAGCGCUAAAAUGAUUUCUUUAUACUACGACUUCCAUACAUAUACGAUGAAAUAAAAAUGGUACACUCUGAACGUACUGUAGUAUAUAAAAGCUGAUAUUAUGAUAACCGUUGUACCCGAAAAAUUAGAUUAACUGAAAACUGCCUUUAACGGCCACUCGCGGGGCUUUAGUGUUUUUGUAAUUUUAGUGUUAAAUCAAUUCGGCUGCGUACGAUUUACCGACACCACGUUAUUGUUUAACGAGUUUAAGAAUAGACGAGUCACUGUGUCACUAGUGUCUGUGUACCGAAUAAUUUCCACAUUUUACUUUAAACCGAACGACUUCUGUAUUAUAGGAAUAUUGGUAUUGCAAAGAAAAACAAGAGAAUUUGAAAAUGCAGAGCGGAAUUACAGUUUCUAGUUAAAAAAAGAUAAUAAUAAAUAAUAUUUAAUCUAUAUUGACCACGUCAUAUGCAUUAUCAUUUUCAGCGAUACAAAGUAAUCGGUUGAAUUUCAGAGAUACAAUUUGUUAGUUUUCUUGGUCCCAUGGUAAAACCGUUGUCCGUUAUCGUGCCAACAGAGAGACACAUUAUUACUGUCUGUGUUUGUUAUAGAAAGUGUAUGUGUCCAUCGUCAUAAACAAGUUGAAAUACGUUUAAAUACCUGUUUUUUUUUUUUUUUUUUUUUACUUAUUAUUUUAUUUGAUAAAAGAGAGGUGUCCGUUUAGACAGGUUUCACUGUAUAUAAAUGGUAUGCUAAAAUAUAACGAUGACACCGUUGAUAUCACAGGCAAAUAUGAAGAAUAAUAUUAGAUAGCAGUGUGUCAUAUAAUAGGUACCAUGGAGGUGAAUUUUGUUGACUAUCUAAUGAAAUAAUUAUUUGUUUAUUCCGUGAAUUAUGUGAUAAUAUGGAAAGGAAUUGUAGUUAAAGACAAUAUUCCAGCGACGUCGUGUAUUGUAUCGCAUUAAAAGAUAACGAUAUAUUUUUUAUGCUGAUACGCCAAAACAAUCAACUGACCGUUGUAACAUAAACGAUAAAAAUAUUUUCCCAUUCUGGAAAUUCCUCUUAAAUUUAUGGUAACUGAACGUCAUUAAGAUUACAACGGUUAACACCUCUGUAACACCACCUCAAUUAAAAAUAUUUCCUAUGCUCGUACCACAUUUUAUUAUUAUCACAUAAUUAAACACAGAUUGAAUAGUGAAUAAAUAAAUAUUUUACCGAUUAAUCAAUCAAAUGCAUCCGGAUGAAUCCAUAAAGCAUUUUUAAGGUGCUAGAAUAUAUUUUCCCGCUAAAAUCGAUUUUUAGACUGGCCUUGCUGUUGGUGCCAAUAGCUUCGGAUUUACUAACAGCCGAGUCCGUCCUCCAGUUGUUUUAUCAAUGUCGAUUUUAUUAAAUUUUAGACCAGUUACGAUUAUACUUACAACCAUAGUCGAAACGAUUUUUAUAAGCGAAAAAAUUCAAAAACAACGGGCAUCACCGAAGAAAGUUUAAAGAUUUAUGUAAAUAAGGUACGUCAAACAUUUCCAUUUAAUAGCGAAUAUAGACUUUUAUUAGUUACGUUUUUCCACACCGCAAUGCAUUUCGACCUAUUAUUCUAAUCCACGAAUAUUCUUACGUGGCUCAAUACAAGUAAAAUCUGACUUUUUUUUUUCUUUUUCGUAACCCUAAAACGGCUUUUGUUUCGCGUAUCUUUUCAAUAGAACGCCAAGCUAUUAUGCGCAGCCACGUGCAAGUGGAUUUGUCCGUGUGUAUAUGUGUGAGAAGUAACUUUAUCCGCAAUAAAUAUGGAAAGUCCCAGACGGAAAAACCGCCGAAAAAAGUUUACUCCCAACUCGAAUCAAAGCAUAUAGUUUUAGUCGUAUUCGUAAUAGUCACGGACCUUAUAAUAUAAAGAUUUAUGCAAAUUUCAAUGUUUAUUCCUCACACUAGAAUGUGCUCUAUUAUAUUGCAUUUUAUAUUAUUUUAGAUUUUGAGUGUAACGAAAAAUGUAUUGGUUUUAUAAUGAUGUUUUUAUUUAAUUUUUUUAUUCUAUCUACAAAAAUAGAUAUUUUCAAGGUAUUUCUCUACACAAAAAAUACAUUAUGUGUUUUAUAUUGCUUUCUUUUACAUUCCUUUGUUUGUAAUUUAAAAAAUAAUUUUGUAAAACCAAAGUGCAUUACUUAAUAAAAUAAACUAGUUAUUGUACAUUUUCAAUCUGCCAUAAAUGCCAGUUCAAUGUAAACAUAAAUAUUAUAAAUGCAUAUAUUUAUUACUAUCGUAAAAGAAUUGUAUUAUUACUUCUAAGCUAGCCCAGUAGAUUGGGUUUAUAAAUAUAAAACUAUAAUAUGUUUAAUGUUCAACGUUUUGUCUACAAUCAACUUUACUAUCAGUAAUAAAUAAUUUUAAUGAAUAUAGUUUGUUUGUGUUUCGUACGGGUAUACAUCAAAUUCCACGCUAUAUUCAACUUUUCGUCCUACAAUAGUGGCUCACCCAUCUGCGAAUAGUAUGUCUGCAUUUUCGUUUGAACUUUGUUUUUAUUUUGUCCUUGUCGUCGAGGUAAUCCAUUAAUCAACCAAACUAAUUCGACUUUCGUACUAGAAAUACCAAGUGUCACCCCCUUUUUAGGGCACGAGUACAGGUAUAAAAAGUGCCUUAUAUAUUAUUCCUGGCCCAGAACUGUAUGCGUGCGCUUAGUUUUAGCGAGAAACGGUAUACCAAACACAUAUCCGUCCAAUUAAACUUUCGCAUUCAUAAUAUUAGUGCGUAGGAUAGGAUAUAAUAUCAUCAUAAUGUACCAUAUAAUAAUAAUAACAUUAUUAUAAUAAUUACUAAAGGGAACGAACUCGUGUAUUGGGGGUGGGGAUAUUUUUUUAGAAUCAACUAGACCACCAACUUCGGGGGGAGGGACUAAAAUUAUGGACACAUCAAAGACCCGUGGGGGCUAUGCCCCAAAAUAUUUUUUACACGGCUCACAUUACAACAGUCAAAUACUAUAGUCAUUUAAAUAAUAGUGCAUAAAAGUAAAUAAUAGUCAUUUAAAAUUUAGUACAUUAUACAAAUUUAUAAUAAGUAUUUUAAUAUUAUUUUUUAUACCAACAGGCAACGGUUUAUAGGAAAUCGUGUAUUUAUUGUUAAACUCAUUAAUAUUAUGAUAUACAAUGGAGACAAGAAAACUUCAUAUAAAGAGUUUUGUAUGGAGUGUAUCCCUCUAUGAGGCACAAACUAUACUCAAAGCGGAAAGAAAAAAAUUGAAACAUGGUGCUUGAGAAGAACGCUUCAAAUUCCUUGGGCAGAGAGAGUUACAAACGGAGAACUAUACCGAAGAAUAAACGAACGGAAAACGAUCAAACAAAUGAGAAAAAAACGGAUUGGCCAUAUUAUAAUGAGAAAUAAUGAAUGGAUAUCGGCAACAACGGAAUAAGGAGCGAGAGGAGGAAAAGCCGGAAAGGAUAGACGAAAACCUGCACCAUUUAUGAAACAGAUACGAUACGGAAGACACACGGGGAAAACCAAUUACAAAGUACCAAGAGUAGCUGUGACGGACAGGGACGACGUGUGAAAGUCCAUUAAAUAGUCAUUGGACCGAUCUAAGGAUUAUAAGAAAAAAAAAAUAAAUAAAUAAAAUACUUACACUCGGGGGUUUUGAGGACCUCCUGGCUUCCCUCUAGUCGCGCCAACGGGUAUUCGCCCCGGUCCCCUCGCCCUCCCCCCAAUCAGGGGGCCGCGCCGCCGCCAUCGGACCACGUCACGUCGCUACGCCGCGCGGACGCCGUUGUCGCGCGUCCUCUUGACGCGAUCAUUUUUACCGAACGUGACUGAACCGCGACCUAUAACACGACACUAUAAUACAAUAUUACGCCCUCGGUCCUCCGGAGACACUAUAAUGGAACGCGGCGUACGUAUGCGCUCUUGUAUUUAUCAUAAUAAUAAUUAUUAUCGUCGCGAAACGGGAGAACCGGCGGACAGGCGUCUCCGCCGCCGCCACUACAAAGCCCCGCGCGGAAAACCCUCGACGGGAGUGUAUUAUUAUGCAGUCGCGAAAUCGAUAUUUGUAUCUAAAUUAAUUACGCGACUUAUGCGCGUCGCCGGUAGACGCGUGUUAAUUAAAAGCGACGUCGUCGUCGCCGUCACCGCCGAAGCCGCCGCCGUCGCGCGCCGCGCCUUCGUUGCCGUCGACCGACAACGCGAUCGCGCCGCGCCCGCGAUCCCCCGGGCCGCCGUCGUCGCCGAAGACCGUGGCCCCCGACCAUCGUACGCCGUGUCAAUCGGGCGUCGCGGCCUCGCGCGAUAAUCGCACGUGAUUAUAACGUCCCCGGCCUCCCCCACGUACCCUCCGUCACAUUCACCCCAACCCCCCCCCGCCCUCCCCUCCUUCUCCGACCAGAAACGUGUACGCUGUUAUUUUUACACGUCCGUAAUACAAAAUAAUAAUUUUCGCGCCCCGCGUUUGCCCGCGACUCCCCCGCAUUCAUCGCCGGCCCAAUAAUAUUAUCAUUUCCGUAAUACACGGUUGCGCGUCGUUCGUUUAGCGGUUAUGUGUGUAUCACGUGGUCGAAACGCACAUCGUCGUAGAACCGAACAAAAUCAAAAGUCCAUUCAAAAAGCGCGAGUCGCUUUACGCGCAUGUAUUUCUGUUUAAAAGUUUAUAUACUAUAAUAUUAUGUAUAAACUUGCGGGGAGAGGGGGGAGGGGUGUUAGCCUACCCAAAAAUACCCAAUAAGGUGUUUUAUAGUACAGAAUAAACAUUGUAUCCGUGUAUCACGUUUUUAUUUAAUACGCAGAACGAAACACAAAUUGCAUACAAACUAUGCAUGCGUGUAUACGAAAUUAAGUUAAAAACGUUUCGGUACAUUUUUGUAUACAAAAUUGGAAAUAAAACGUGCAGUUGCUUAACAAAAGUAUCGUGAUGCAAAGUGGAUUGUGGGGGUAUCGCCUCUAUGGGUAUGUGAUGAAAAAAAUUAUAAUGACAUACUGUAUACUGUAAAGGUUAUAAUUUAUAUUCUGUAAUCAAUGAUAACAUUAUUAUUGUAACUCGCGAUAACAGUUGUUAUACCUUUAACUAUUUUAUGUAAUACUAGAUAAUAUGCUGUUGUUACAGUGACGCUGCCGCCGUUUACAAAGUGGCCCAUGUUCGUAUCCGACCUAAUAAUCCUUUGUUAUCUCUUUGUCAUUAUUUGACUUGUGGUUUUAGGUAUAAAAUAAAUUAACGAAUAGUCAAAUAAUGUCUCAGGUAUCGCUAUAUGAAUGAUAACAAUAUUAAUAAACAUGGAUCGGGGCGUUUUUUUGGGAAUAUGCAUUUGCCCAACCAUGGACUUUAAAGUAUUUUUGGGCCGGCUGCCUCCAGAGUCAUUACGGACCAUAAUAUAACAUACGAAUCACUAUGAAAAGGCGAAUAUGAUUUAUCAUUAGUCUACGAUAAGACGAGUACAAAAAACUGUUUUUUUUUUUUUUUUUAAAUGUUUCAAGUGUUGCUUUUUUAGUAUGGAGUUUUAUAAUAGUAUCACGGGUGACAUAGGCAAACAUAUAUUUAGCUCACCAACUCCCAAUCAUGUCAUAUGCUUGUAAAACGUGGUAGACAGCUUAAGAGGAGAAGCUUUGAGAGGUGCUAAGAAAAUAUACCAGUGAAAAAUGAAUCAACUGGGGACUAUGAAAGGAGAAAAAAUACUAUCACCUUGGAAUACCUACAUAACAAACCAAAUAAUAAAUGUUUUCUAAAAGCUAAGAGUCUAGAUUGGGCGGGUUAUGUAUAGCGAGCCGAGGAAAACAUAAUUCAAAAAGUACUGAUUAACAAACCAACUGGUUUACGUCUUAGGGGAAGACCUCGUCAUCGAUGGUAAAUUUAGAUGUAAAAAUGAUAGACGAAACGUCAAAACUCAAAACUCGAGAAAACUAUUAAUCAUGAUGAAUGGGCGAACUUAAGAGAAUCUACAAAAGGUCUCGGGCCUAUAAAGUAAUAAUAAAAAAAAAAAUAAAUAUAGUUUUAUUACAUUAUAGUUUCAUCUGAUAUGAUUAUAUCGAAAUAUUCGAGUAAAACGAUAGUCUCUAAUACUGUCGUAUCAGACUAAUAAUAAUUGUAUGAGUCACUAGAAGAUACUGUCAUCGUCAUUUUUUCCCCGUUUUAUAUGUUUCAACGCUUACCGCCUAUAUUAAAUGUAUAUAAUAUUUACGUGGCCUAGAUGCGUAUAUAAAUACAAAUUAUACACCUACCCGUUAGAAUGACAAUCCGAAAUAUUGUUUUUUCAUUUUAGUAAUGGGUUUUUCAAUUAUUCUUCCAGUCACCGUAUUGAGGCAUUCGCUGUACGAAUUACUAUUUAAAAACAAAACAAAAAAAAAAAAAAACAACAAAACAAAACAAAACUCAAACAAACAAACACGUAGAAAAGUAGUAACAUUUUUUUUUUCAAAUAAAAUGUUUUAAAAGUAAUAUUAUAAAUAGCCGUGUACGCGCCAUUAAUACAUUGUUAUAACUGUGUAAUGUUUUAUGUAUUUUUUAUAAUCCCAUUUUAAUAUUAUACUAUGUACACAUAAAUAUCGGUUUUUUUAUUAUGUCACAUAAGAUAUGUCAAUCAAAAAAAAAUUUACUUUUUUAUUGCUUUCGGGAAAAUAAUAAAAUGUAACAUAUUAGACAACUUAUUCCAGACCAGCGAAUUAAUAGUAAUCGAAUAAAUAUUAUUAUGUUGAUUUAGAAAAAUUAUUGUAGUAUAACAGUAUUCAGUCACAAACUUUUAGUGUCAGUCUGGAUUAUAGUGCAUACAAUCUGCAACGUUGGAAAAGAUAUAACCUACAAUAUUGUCAUCUAGUAAAAAGACAGUUUAGAUAAUAUGGCAUUAAGAUAAUUUAUAAAAAGACGGACAUAGUUUACACGUGGAUGGGCCACUGUUAUAGGUAAGAAGUUGGGAAGGUACUAUGGAAAUUUAAUACACAUCUAUACGCAACGAUUCUGAACAGAGUUUGGUUAAUAUUUUUGCUUCGUCAACAAUAUAUAUGUCAUUUUAUCGUAAAAUAAUGAAAUAUGCAUAAUAUAUUUUCUGUAGUAAUAUUUGUUUAAUAUUGUACCUAUUUACCCAUUUUUUCUACGUUUUUCCCAAUUUCCCCAGGGUUUUCUCGGUUUCUCCAAUUUGUUAUGAAAACAGCUGGAAAAAUCAAACAGUGAGCUUCUUAGAGUAGCACCCCAGUCAAAUUUCCUUUCAAAAAAGUACUAUUGCAAUCCUUGAAAAUUGGAACGAAAUUGCUGGUAGAAAAGUUACAUAAAAAAAAAAAAAAUCAUUGUAAAACCAAUACAUUCCUCGCUCCGCUUAGAAUCUAAAAUUUAAUUUUAAGAAUGUAGGCAAUUCAGAUUCAAAAUAUAUUAUUUUUAAGUUCUGAGACAGCUAUUCUACCAGAAAUUUUACUUCGAUUUUCAAGUUUAACAGUUAUUCUGAAAGGAAAUCAGACAGAAUCUGGUACUUUAAGAAGGUAAUUUUUUUGAUUAAACCAGAAGUUUUCAUAAAAAAUGUGAAAAUCCAGGGAAAAAUAUAGAGAAAAUGGGUUCAUUUACGAAAUGUUUUAUUUUCAAAUUGUAAAUAUUAGGCUCUUCAAUAAUUGUAUAACUGCACUCCGUUAAGAAUCGUUUUUCAUUAGUAACGAAAAAUAUUUGCGGACAAAUAUACAUUUUAUUUCUCUUCUACCUUUCCAACUUCUCAUCUACAAAACUAGAAUAUACUAUGGAAUAUUUACUUUUAAAUAUGAAAUAUCAAUUUAUUCAAGAAAGUAUUCCCUAUAUCAGUGGUUCUUAACCAUUUUUGUUUCAAAGACCCUUCACCAAAUUAACUGACUGCUAACACCCUCUCACGCAAAACUAUAGGUUUACCCUGGUGUUUUGAUGAUGCUUUUGUUUUGUUUUGUUUUUUUUUUUUUUUGAUAAUUGGUUUUUAUACAAAGUGUUAUAUUAUCGGAAUCUUGACCAAAACUAAAUCAAAACUCUAAAUCCAGCCCUGUACACUAUUCUGAUUUCACUUGCGAUAACAUUUCGCUGAACGCUGUUGCUUUUUAUUUUAUAUUUUUCCGAUAUUCCGCAUUUAAAAACUCAGUUCCCCCCAAUGCCCACUUAAAACCUAUCGCAAUGGUCAAAGUCUCUCAAUGGACUGAUUAUGAUACCUGAAAGGCGGUACCGCUCACGUUAAGAACCACUGUUCUAUAUGAUUUGUACAGGAAAAAACAUAAUAUUAUUUUUAUUUAUUUAUUUAUUUGUUUAUUAUUAUUAUGAAGAAAGUAAGUCCCUACACCGUUUCCUUUUCAGGCAUCUAGGUAAGUUGCCUGGAUUUGGGUUGGAAGCGAGGAUAUCGAUGAAAGGGUUCGGGCAGGUAGCAAAUUUGUUGUGAGUUUUUUUGUAGAUUUGAGGUGCAAGUUUACUUAUUGUCGGAACGCAUAGGUCGUGGUGUAAAGAAGCGAUUGUGACAUACCAAGAGGCUGACGUAAUAUUGUUAGGUAUGGCAUAUAUUAUAAAGUUUGUGUAUUACCAAAGUUACAGCGUAAUUAAAAACGAAUUUGUUUUGAAUAUAACGACGAUAAUAUUAUAAUAUACUUAGUAUCUAUUACCUACGUAAUUAUACAAACAUAGUAUUAAAAAGAUAAAAUAAUUAUUAUUUUGGUUUUAUUAUGAUAAAAUACAGUACCUAAGUAAGUGAACUUUCAUCGAGAUUAUCUUUUCAGUUAUUUUUUUGUCUAGAUAAUCCAAACACUGACUAUAAUAUUGAAUCCAGACUCCUCUAGGCCCUACAAUAUUGUUUAAUAUUCAAUAUAAAUUCAAUAUCCUAUGGACAUCAGUUUAAAUAAAAUAAUGCCGCAAAAAAACACUAAUAUUAUUAAAAAAAAAAAAAAAGGACAUAAAAAGUAAAAAAAAAGAUGAAUAGUGUGUUAUGUAUUAUUCGAUUUUUUGGUACACAAAAAAAAAAAAAAAGAUAAAAGCUCCGUCGUUUAAAACGUGAAAAUUGUUUACCAAUAAAAUACAAAUUUAUACUGACAUUUUCAAUGCAAAGUUCUAUAUGCAGAGAAUUCAAAUGGUAUUAUAUUAUUACAGAAACUUUUAAAAUAAAAUCAACAAUGAAAUUUACAGAUGAUUUUAGAUUCCGAGCGUAACAAGGAUAAUGCACCAGUUUUACAAUUACGUUUAUUUUAUUUUUUCGUUAGGUAUUCUAUCAUAAAUCUACACAGUGGUCCACCCACCGCGCGAAGUAUGUCUGCAUUUUUUUUUUUCUGUCUUUUGUGUAUUUCUCUUUAUACGGUGAACGAUGAUCGAAAGCGUGAAAAAAAAAAAACCAAAAACUGUAACUUGUUUCCGCGAGAUGAGUACACCUGAGUUAAUUACAGGUAACGAUAGGUUAUAAUAAAUCAAAUUUCGUUUUUUGAAAGGAUAAUACUAUAAUACAGGCCGCGUCCACAUUUAGAGUUUUACCGUGUAUAAAAAUAAUCUGCUGUGCGGUUUUUUAAUUGAAGUGAAUAUUAUUUCUAUGUGGGAAAAUCUGUUUACAGGCAGGACGGAAAGAAAAAUGAACAGCAAAUGCGCAUAGUGAAACUAUUAACAGUAUUUCCGCUAUACGUCGAAAAUCUAAAAUAAUAUUUAGAGGCAUAUUGAUAAAUAAUUCAUGUCCGUAAAAUAAUAAUAAUUAUUUCCUCGACACACUUUACGUGGUUUGUAAAAUUAAUAGCUUCCUCGUUCUGUUCGGCAGAUUUUAAAAUAACCCUUAACAACAACUGUAUACCAACUAUCCUGCCCGCCGGUUUUAUUCGUACCCACCAAAUAUAAUUUAUAAUUAAAUAUAUUAUCCGCGCGGGCGUAAUAAUUGUUACGGAAUGAGAACGGACGAUAGAGAUAGUUUCCCGUGCGGUUUUCCCAUUUCAAACGGGUCGCUGCUGUACGUUCACUGUCCUUUUUCCAUAAUGAUACGGGUAUACCUACCGUCCGCGUUUGUUUUGCUUGUUAUCACUUUUAUCGGGGAUCGAAAAGGUAGAUACCUACCUAUGUAUUAUAAUACGUGUUAUUAUUAUUUGUUUCGCCGAUAGACCGUCCCAGAAUUAUUUAUAGUACGGAAAUAAUAUGAAACGACGCGCACACGCAAAGUACCUAAUUUCGUGCAUUAUAAUCAGUGGUGGUGGUGUUCCAAUCAAAUUCGUUGAGAAUAUGCGACAACAUCGAACGCUGUACACGGCGUAUUUCGUAACUUCACACGCAUGGUUUAUACUGUUUAUAGGGGAACAGAUAUAAAUUGUACGAAAAUUAAAUUCGAAUUACGAAAAUUGUGAAUUCGUUAAGUUAUAAUUACUGAAAAAAACACAAUUCGUAUUGUUAUUGUUAUAGCUUUAAGUCGCGUAUCACGGACAAUGAUGACAAUACGUCAUAAAGAUUUUUUUUUAAAAACUAAUUGAGAACAUAAGUUACUACGCAGUAUACUUACUCGUAAUUUUGAAUAUUCUUAGAAUAUAUCAUUUUUUUUUUCGCACACUCUAUGGCGGUGUUUAAUGUCACGACUCCCUAAAUGAAUAUAAAAUUUAUUUUGUGAUCCCUAAAUAUAAUAUGUCUUAUACGCGGCGACCCAAUUGGGUCGAGAAACACUGCCCUAUGGGAACACCAAUGGUUAUAAUAUUAUUGUUGAUUAAGUUUCGUCACAUAGUUUUACAUGGGUCUUUUUGUUUGGGUCGGGGGUCAGUCGAAAAACCGCAACACAUUUAUUGUAAUAUUGAAAACGUGAUGAUAAGCGUCGUGAUCUAGCGUUUUUCACAGUUCAUAAUUUAAUAGUAUUUUGAUUGUUUUUAAUAAAUAAGUAUAAAUGUAUAAAAUCGAAUUUAUAUUUCCCUGGUGAUAAAUUAUUAUAUAAUACGUAUUACUUAUAUCACUUACAGCAUACAAAUAACUGAAAUAGUUGUUUCGUAUUAACAUGGAUUUCAUGCAGGGAAUCCAUCAGGAAUUAACGUCAUUGGUUGUAUUACACACGAUUAUCUUCGGUUCCGCAGUAUUGUGAAAAAACCGGAAUGUAUAAGUGAAGAAAAGGUUGGGGAAAACGAAAACGCUAAAACGAUUGAAAAGGAAGUUGAAGAUACAUUUAAAAUUGAAGAUUUAAUUUUUUUUAAAUUUUUUUUUUUUUUUUGUGAGCCCAAAAAUACUUUGAUGACACUAUGUUUGUUGGUGGAGAAAAUUUGUUUUCAACGAGACGGGGUCGGUUUUUUUCUCCAUUCGCCAGACAAAAAAAAAAAAAAAAAAAUGUUAAAUAGUACAACGUAGCCCUAUCGUCUUUUUCGAAAUGAUAAAAGACGCAAUCAUCGUAUGUAUAGUUUUUACAACUCAAUAAAAGAUCAAAAGCCACAUAGCCAGUUGUAAUAUUUUCGAAAUGUCUGAUGUUUAAGAUGCUUUGAAAUAUUGUUUAUUUAUGAUAAUAUUCACAACCUAUACGUACAGUGGAACGUCUUAUCGAUAAUUGUAUUAACAUUUCAUAAACGUCGAAACCAAAUAGGUUUAACUUGUUCGUGUAUACAUAUUUUAUUAUGCAGCUUUAUUUGAAUAUUAUUAACAAUAUCGUAGUUUGAACAUUCCGUAUACAAUUCGUGUACGAUAACAUUCGGAUUCCAGAAAUACAUAAUAUAUAACUCGUAUUUUGAUUCGUUGAUACAAUAUUCGUAUCGUUUCGUUGCCGCGUAACGAUAUUAAUAAUAUUAUAAUAUAUUAUGUGUUGGCACCCGUAUUAAAUUUUUUUAUUUACUAUAUUAUCAAAGUUUAUUUUCGUCUUGAAGGGGGCCAAAAAAAAAAAAAAAAACAAAAAAAACCGUAACUUAAAACAUACGCGUUUUACGUGUCAAAAACCGGUAUGUUUGUUUUACCACACGUCGCUCUGACCGGGAAAUGUUCAUUGACGUCAAUUAUACGACUAUACCAUGAUAAUAAUAAUAAUAAUAUACCUACCUAUAGUAGUAGAAAGGCGGUGAAAAAACAUUUAUUUUUUAUUCAUAAUAAUGUUCUUGUGAAUAAGCGUAUAGUGACAUAAAAAAAAUUAAUUAUUUAUUUACGCUCGUCGGACAUUUAUCCGAGAAAUAUUAUUAAAAAUAAUAAUAAUAACGGUUUUAAAAUGUUGUAUACAAACAAAAAAAAAAAAAAAUGUUUUUUAUAAAUACACUCGUGUCGAAUAAUAUUCGAACGUAAACACAAUAAAGGAAAAUCUCGAAAAUCCAUUUUAGAUUCCUUGAUAGAUUGCAUUUAUUUUACUACAAAGUGUGCUUUUUUUUUUGUGUGCAAGUUUAAAUCGCACAACAGAAGUCUAGUGUGGAUCUUCAAGCAUUGCAUUUUUUCUGAAAGUAAAAUUUAUGUUUAUUUGGUGUAUCGAAAUAGUUGGUUUUUCGGGAUGAUAGUUGUUUUCAUAAUAAUUGAGAAAACCCGGUAAAAAUCAUAGAAAAAAGUAGACAGAUUUACGUAAAAGAGGUUUUCGUUAUUUCAAAAUUUGCAAAACUUUCCGACGAUGUUUGAGCUAUUAUAUGGAAUUUGUAAGUUUCGUUUUAUUUUCGGUUGACGUUCUAUUGAAAUUAAAUUGAAUUUUACUGAAUGGUUUUAGAUACAGAACGUAGCAAGAAAUGUAAUGGUUUUACAAUAACGCUUAUUAUUUUAUUUUUAUUCUGUUUUCUACCGGAAAUCUUGUUCUGAUGUAUCAAGUGUAGCAAUUUUUAUGAAAGAAAAUUGUAUCUAUUUGGUACUUUAAGCCGUUCAUUUUGUGAUUAUUCAAGCGGUUUUUAUAAUGUUUGGGGGAAAACAUAGGAACAACGGAAAAUGUACGAAAUUCAUUAUUUUUAAAUCGUAAAUAUUACGGCCUUUCAAUACAUGUAUGCUUGGAUUAGUUUUUCGUUAGCAAAGAUAAAAUUAGAAAAAUUCAUAUUUUUUGAUUGGUGUAAGAUGUUCAGUAAAAAAAAAAAAAUACACUAUUUAACAAUCAAUACAUUCAUCGCUUCACUCUGUUUUUGUUCCUUGAAAACCUUAUAUCAUAUAUACGUUAUACAAUUAAUAAUUUGUAAAAGUAAAAACUUUAUAGACUAUAGUCUGGGAGAGCCGAGGACCCAAGCCCCUCAUCUGGAUUCGUAUAGUAAAUUCAAACUAUUAGAAUUUUCAAAUACUAAGUUUUUAUAUAUUAUGUGCUCGCGAAAUUACUUCUUCUGUAUUUUUUUGGAAAAACUCUUUUCAUUUCGGUUCGUUUCUGUAAUACGGAUAAUACGAGUACCUAUAUGUACCGUCUCUUGAACUCGAGAAAGUAACAAUUUCGUCGGUACAAGAAUAAUAAACUAUUUUAAAUUUAUUAUUGAUGAUACGUGUCGAUGAAUAAUAAUAAUAAUAAUAUAAUAAUACCCGCAAAAUGUUGAAUCGAAUUUACCGACCGAUAACAAUAAUUGAAUUUCGUUUGGUAAAUUUACCGAACGUAGACGUUCAAUUUUAUAGCUCAAAGUCACAUAGUCUGAGUUUUAGAAUUUGCAAAAAUAUUGGCCCCAAUGCGUUUUCUUCGUUGUAAGUUGAUUAGUGUAAUCGUAGUAUUGAAUCUUUAACGGGUCACGGGAAAAUCAAGAUUGCUCGCAUUCAAAUUACCCAAACGCACGUUAAAUCAACAUUAAAAGGGAAAAAAACACUUCUUUCCCAGCAGUACGUAUUAACGUCCGACCAAAAAUACGAAUAAUUUCAAAUGAAAUCAAUUUCUUAAUUAUAAUAUCAGGGUACGUGUUUCCACGGUAAUUCUAUGGCACUCGAGUAAAAAAGUGCACAACUAAAAAUGUGAAUUCUUGCAUCAAGACUUGAGACCAAUGUGACACUAUUCUUAACGUGAUGAAUACGAAUCAAUCUAACUGACACAACCGCUCUCUGCGGAUAAUUUGUUCGUUAUUGAUGUGACGUUAUUCCUGAAUUUGAACACUUUAUUUUUUAUACGAAUUUAUGUUUAAAAAGAAAGAGGGUCAUAUUUGAAAAUCAAACGUGUACACUCAUUUAAGGUAUAAAUAAUAGGGGAAAAAUCAAUUUAAAAAACUGCAUAAUGAUAGAGAAAAAACAAAAAUAAAAUUCACUUAAUAUUCUCCGAGAUAUUUUCUGGUGCGUGAUAAACUUAUUUAGCAUAGGUAUUAUCGUAUAUUUGAUGUAUACUGUAUAAACUAAAAUGUGUACGUUGCGAAUUUAAUUAAUAAAUGUUAAUAAUCUCUAUAGAAAUUUAUAAAACGCAUGGUUGAAUAUAAUUUGUUAUAAUCAAGCAGGGAACAGAAUAACAUUUUUAAAAAUUGUAAAGGCGUGGUCGAAAGUCAGUUUUGUAAACCUAAAAAAUUCGUUCGACGAUAAGAUCCGCGAUGAGUGUGAGCAAAGCGGCAGCAGUGUUUAACGUUUAACGUUGUCCGUUUAAAGUUUUUGACUUAAAACGGUUUAGUGACCACGACGGCACCCCGUAAAUCCCAUUGUAGGUAUUACCGUGUAAAAACAACACGUAUGUACGAAAGGGAUGCAAUUACCGAGCAGGGAUCCUACCCCUACGGCUUUUUAACCUCGAGUUGUGGUCCUGAAACGUAUAUUUUCGGAUUUUCCAACAGAAACAAAUUCCGAUUCGUCUAUUGUGUACCAGUAGUGUGCGUAGAAAAUUUUUGAUAACACACGCCCUCCCUACAUUACUUUAGAACUACGAGUAUUUAUUUUUUAAUGUUAUGUAUCGCAGUCAAGUUGCAAGGAAAUCAAGUUUGAUUUAAUACAUACCUGGUGUUUUUGAAUGAUUCUUGAAACGGCAACAUUAGCUCUUUAUAAUAUUCUAUAAUAUUUUGAAGUUCAAUAUUUGCGUUAAACAAAAUGGAAUCAUCGACAUAAAAAAACGAAAGAAAUCGGAAUUCGAGAGAUAGGAAAAGCGUAAAACCUAGAAAAUCAAUAAACGGAAAAAAAAAACUAAUGACGGGUGCGUAACUAUUGUAGGUAGGAAAUUGCGAAAGUAGGAUACACAGAGGUUUAAUAAAUUUAUAUCUGUAUGCAAUGAUAUAUUAUUGCUAACAAAAUACGAUUCUGAGUAAAGUUCGGCUAAACAUGUUUUGAAAGGCUAUCAUUUUUUACGAUUUUCGUUAGAAUUUGAAUUUAAAUGCUAAUGCAUGUAUGCUCUUUUAAAGACAACCCAUAAUAAACUAUUCGGAAGCUAUCAUGAAAGUCAAAUUACUAAAAAUCCACAGAAUAUAUUAUAUAAUAUUAAGAAUAUUCAGUGAUAAUGUCAGGUCUCUAAGAUUAUUUCUACCUCAAUUAUAACGAAAAAACUGAUCGAAAAUUAUAUAAAUAUUAAUAUUAAAAAUUAAUUACGUUAACGAGGUUUUUCUAAGUUUUUAUUCAAUUUUGAAAAAACUCCUCAAAUAAUUAAAAAUUACUCCCUCCAUAUAAUAAUGGGAAUAACAAGAUCCAAAAUAAACACAGAAAAAACUUCCUUAAUUUUUUUAUUGACACAUAAUUUCUGGCAGAAAAGUUGUUCACAGGCAGAUUAAGAAAAGUAAGAAAAAAAAUAUAUUUACAUUAUGGUAAAACGUAUGCGUUCCUCGGUACGUUUGGAACCUAAUAUUUAAAAUACCGAAACGCCCUUCUUAUACAAUAACUAAACAACGUUUUUUUUUUAGAAAUGAUUCUUCUUUUAAAAUUUUAGGAAAGAUUUUCGGUAGGAAAACAAAAUCGAAAAUAAUAAAACUUUUACUGCCGUAAAUUUAUUCGUUUCUCCAAAUUAUCAUGAAUAUUAUUUGGAAAAUCAAAUAAGUAUUUUUCUAAUGCAACAACUAGCUUCAAAAUACUACUAAAAAGCUUUAUUUUGGUUUUUUGAUUCGAGAGAGAUUUUUCGUUGAAAAUUUAGUAACAAAUAUACAGACAAAAACAGGAAUAAAAGAAAUAAACAAAAACAAAAAUCGUAUACAUCAAAGCUAUACCGCCGCGCUGGUGUGUUCGAACAAUACAAUACCGUGAAUAAUUUAUAGCGUCAGCUCUUUCUUUUUUUUUUUUUCUUGAUCAGAGAUCACAUCGAACGCAAAAAAAAACCCCUACGCAUGGUGAAAAGCAGCCCUUCGAGUCGGGCAACAAAAUCUCGAAAUGUGAUGGAAAGUUAUAUUUUUUUAUUUUGCCAAAGGGUUUCACGCAUUCGGCUCACGUAAUCUGAAACAUAUAUAUAGUGUGCGGUGGUCGUCGAUGCUGCUGCUGCUGUAGUACUCAAAUUUCCCGGACGAACCCGCCGUCGGUACACGGCGUGUGUGUUUGCACCGCUUUCUCGACCCGCCGAACCCUUGGAUGGUGGUAUAGGUGAGAAUGGGUAAGGGGAGGGACGGAGUACACGGCUCAAAACUCUUGCGGACCCGCACAUUUUUCACCGACCCUUAUAAUACGAACUGCAUGGUGUAUGGCAUUUAAGAGAUCGAAAAAUAUAAUCGCGACGGGUGCAAUUUACGAAUAAAUAUAAUAUAGGUGUACCUUUACAUAGUAUAUAUAUUGGGGUUGGAUUUCUGGAUGAAAUAAUAAAAGAAACUGUGAAAUGUUUUUUGAUCAAAAUCGUAAACGUGUAAAAUACCAAGUAGUUAUAAUAAUAUAAACUUGCACGGAAAAUCGUUAAAAAAUUGUAAAAAAAAAAAAAAUAAGAAAUAAGAAAGCCUGUUAUACUUUGCACUAUGGACAGACCACUGUUGUAUAGAUGAGAAAUUGAGUAUGUAGAAUAUAUUUAUAGGGCAAUUUAGUUAAGGUACGUAAUGCAUACUGCAGAAAUCGAUGAAAAAUCAAAAUAUCCGAAAAAGAGAACCUAAACAGAAUGGAAUGUUCAACAGUUUAGUUGAACAUUUAGGUCGUUUUUAAAAAAAUCGCAAUUUUUUUUUUAAGUUGAUCUUUUUAGAAUCUUUAAGAAAUUAUAAUCCAUAUUUAUAUUUAUAUUCAAUAAAAAGCAAUGGUUAUAAAUCACUAUUUUUGAUGUACUGCGCUACCACUAUUUUCACUAUACUUCUAAAAAAAAUGGCGAACCCGAAAAUCAUCGGUACUUUGUAUAAGUGUAGGACACCCACGGUAUUCGCUAAAAUAGUGGACUAACUUUUUCGACUUGGAAAGGGGAACUUUUUCGAUGUUAUCAAAUUAAUAAAAUGUAGGGUACUACAGGAUAAUAUAAUCUUAUCAAAUUAAAAUAUCCUUAAAAUAGUGAUAAAACUAUAAAACGACCGCCUCUGAAUAGAGAAUUCAUUUUGAUUUUAAGUCGAAUUUUUAUGACCUGACCGAGUAUUCACAAUUUUGUUUUAGCCUAGCGAAAUUUACGCAGUUUUCAUAUUAAAAAGUAGUGUUGCCGUAUUAUACGCGACUUACUAAAAUAAAACCGUGCGCUACCAAUAUCGCUGCAUAAAAAAGUAGCGCACUACUUCCAAGUGAACUAUAGCUACACGAUACAAAUCGUUUGUGCGUGUCGAAAAUCGUAAGCAAUUUUGAUGUUUUAUCGACAUCAUCUCAUUUGAUCAUAUAUUUGGCGUGUUUUGAAUUUAAAUUAUAAUUAUUAUAACGGUCACUGCGUGAUAUAUAUAAUUAAAAUCGAGUCUAAACAAAAACUUUGGGCCACGUACAUUGACAAGGAGAACGUUGCUAUUAAAACAAGCCAUAAUGUUCAGGUAUAUCCACAGCCAAUUCUAGUAAAAAAAAAAAAAAACAAAAAUAAAAGGUUAGUUUCCCGGACUCGGGUAACGAUCGGAGUCGAGUGUCGCAACAUUCGCGCCGUAAUUUAUUCCGAAAUCUCUGAGUUUUCGUAAGACGGAACAAUUUCCGUCAGGGUGAUCGGAGUUAUUGGGGAGAAAAUAAAUUCGUAUAUGGAAAAAUAUGAAUAUUUUUUGACCGAAUUGCAAAGAAUUGAUCAUAUUCGCAUGUGCACACGAUCAAAAAUUAUAGUAUUUUUUUUUUCUCGCGGACAGCAUAAUAUUUACAUUUUCCUAAAUGUAUAAUGCAUACACAUAAAUAAUAAUGUUAUAAACUUUAUAUACAUCAGCAUGCAAAUUAGAAGAAUGUAAAACAAUAUUAAAAUAUUUAAAUUAAUUUCGGAACGUGUAACAUAUUAUAAUAUUGCGAAAACGUCGAAUUUGAAUUAAAUUAAAAUGUUAAUAAAAUAUAAUAACCCAUAGGAUAUAACCCGAAUAUCCAUACAAUAUAAUACUUUUGUAACACCGAGUGUCGGGAUAUCAUCUAUAAAAACAAAAUACUCUACGAAAAGAUAAUCCAAAUAAUGAAGUACAAUGUCUUUAGGAAAUAAGUAGAAUGUAGAUGAUAGAUUUUCGCUUCCGCUGAAUUGUCUGCGUAUUUAUUUUUUCAAGUUCUACCGUUCUACCGUAUUCGGUCACAUCCGUGUUAAAUAAACAAAAAUAAACAAAUAAAAUGAAUUAACUUUUAUUAUAAUAUUCAGUACAACUGACAUGUGUCUUGUAUAAAUAUUUAUGUGUAGUCAACUUUAUCAUAUACAUCUGGAAAAAAUAUAUCGGUUAUCUUUCCCAACACUGAUUACGACGCUCGCCAUUACAAUGGAUUACUCGAUCAUCAUUAUUUCGGAUGGAAAAUAAAAAAAAAGGUCGAUAUUUUAUCGAAAAAAACCCUACCCAUAUAUAAGUACGAAACGCGAGACAAAACGCAAAGGACCGCUCGAGACGACCGGUGGAUUUUCUGCGAUAUUAUACGACGGCGUUGAAAGUGUGUCGGAAACGAUAAAAAUAUGAUGUUUCAGCGAAAAAAAAAAUGUUUUGCGAUAGUAGGUCGACGGUGGCGGAGAACAGUCAUUCACAACGUCCUCGCGAAGCACUCGGUUUACGAUUUUUUUUUUUGUCGACACGUGCGGAAUUCAGGCACUAAUGAAUAUCGCUCGAUUAACACGAGUAAAAAAAAAAAAUUGUUAGUUUAAACAAGUGGGCGCAAAUGUGAAAUGGACUUAAAAAAUCGGUGGCGCUACAUGUACCAUUUUGUGGAAGGGGUUCCAAAUUCUCAACACAAUUUCGUAAUAACAAUUUAUUAUAAUUAUAACAACUUUAGGUUUUUAUUUUUAACUAUUGCAGUCUUAUAAUAUUUCCCCAAGUUGUUGUUUUAACAAUUCGUCGGCAAUUUAGAUUAUAAAAGCAGCCUGAUACAAAAAAAAAAGUCACCCGAACGUUUCAAAAGUAUUUACAGCCGAGAGAUAAUAAUAACAAUUGUUAUAAGACUCGAAAUUUACGAGUAAUUUAAUCUAAAAAACUGUGCGCACAAUGCGGAGUCUUUGAAAAAAAAAAAAAAAUACAAAUAUCGGUUGUAUAAAAACGAAUUAUUUGCCCCAGGCGACGGAAUAUGAUAAUAAUGUCGAAAGGACAGCCGAACUUUGUAAAAAACAUCGUGCGUCACGGAAGUUGGUUAAUAAAUGGACGAUACCAAGAGGAUGAAUUAUGUAUUGAUUAAUUCAUUAACUAUUUUGGUUUAUGUUAUGAAUAUGAAACAUAUUUGAAAUUAAAUUCAAAAAAUAUAAUUUUUCCCUACCAUCGCGUGAUAAUAUUAUUUACUGCGAAAAAAAAAAAUUACAUGGCGGUAAUCGAUGCAAUUUGCCCUUAUUUUUUAUGGAUUUCUAUCGCGCCGACACACGUUCGGUUCUUUAGUCAUAGAUACCGUUUGGAGUGGUGCCGGCUGAGAAGUGACUUUUGGGGAUCCUAUUUUGUAAAAAAAAAAUAUUAUAACUGUCUAUAUCGCGUAGAAGACACAGCCUGAUCUAUUAUGUCUUAUAUGUUGCAAUUCCACGAAAUUGAAUUGUCCAAUUUCUAUUUUAAGAACCCCUUCGUUCCAUUGUUAUGACAGCAAACCUGAACUUGAAUUUUUUUUGAUCCUUGAUCAACAUUCUCGGGACCAACUUUGCUGCAAUUCAGCACAUCUAUAGUUUAUCGGGUACAAUUGUUUGGCAUGGAAUGCUCGGUUCGCGACUAAUACUAUUAGUCUCGGUACAUUUUUUUUAACACCCAUGUGUUAAAUAAUUUACUAUUAUCCCUAUAAUAAUAAUAGCAGUGAUGCAAAUCGUAUCAAGGGAAAAAGGGAUCGUUUCCAAUGUCAUGGAUCAAGUUUAAUGGCCAAGUGAAUUGCCUAAUUUACAGAAUAGAUAUAAGAUGAUUGAUAAAUAAUUGCCCAUUUUAUGAAUCGCACAAAAUUAGUAGUACCUAUAUAAUAUAAACAUGUUCACUAUUUAAAUGUUAAAAUUAUAUUUUUCGUAUACAUUUAAAUUUAGCUAUUAUAAAUGUAUUAUUAUUACAAUUAAUUAUUUGUAUAAUUUUUUUAAAUUAAUUGAAUAAUAAUAAAAAAAAAGGACGGGCAUACUUCGCACGUGGGUGCAGCCAUAUUAAAGGCGAGAAGUUGGGAAUGUAGGCUAAAUACGGAAAUUUAAUGUAUAUCUGUAAGUGACCAUUGCUAAAGAAAAAUCAAUUCUGAGCCGUAUUCGGCUGAUAAUGGCUCUUUGUCAACAAUACAAUAUAUGGUAUUAUGUCAUAUUAUGGUGAACUGAUUAAAACAAUGUGCGUUUCCGUGACAACAAUGAUUGUUUAAAAAGGGUUAAAAAAAUAAAAACUUAACAAUAAUAAGUAAAUAAAAACGGUUGCCAAUGUAAACUUUAUUUUUAAUUUUUCAAUCCUUUUUAACCUAAAGACCUAGGUUUUCUUCAUUAUCUCGAAUGUCAAAUGAGAAUUUCAAAAAAUGACCUCCUUAAAGAGAAACCACCCAGAGAAAAUUUCCCUUUCAGUUUAGGUGCUUUACUUGAUAAUCGGAGUGUGCUUUACGGUAGAAAAAGUGAUCAUAAAAAAAUAAUAAUAAUAAACGUCACUGUAAAACCAAUACAUUCAAUACGUUCACUAAGAAUCUAAAAAAAAAGAAAUUGAUCAAAUAAUAAAUUUCAGCAUUUUAUUUUCCAGAAAAUAUCUGUAGUAAAUAAUAAAUUUAAAAAUAUAUUAAUUAUCAAAAAAAAAAAAAAAAACAACCAAUCCUCUAAUUCCGAAAAAAUAUUUCUAUUCGCACUGUUAUUACAUGUUCGGUUGUCGUGUUUAGUAUUGAGUUAUAUAUUCGAGAAUAUCAAUUAACGGUCCAUGAAACAGACAGGAUGUUCAAAGUCUGUCUAAUUCGCGAAACAGCAAAUGUUCUUACUUAUCGUACAAAUAUUGGGCAACUAGUUAUCGGUCGGUUUCUCGGAACGGUCAAAGAAUUUCCUGUUUCACGAAUUUGUCGAGUUCGCGGAAUGGGGGUGCAAUUUUAUUUCUCUACGUAUGGUGAGGAUAAUAACUGUAGUGUUGUUGUUAAAAACGGUAAAAAAACGCUGGCAUCAAACACGGAGCGCGAUUUCGAACGACGGCGAUUCGUUAAUCAGCCCGAGUCUCCGAAAUGCAUGUACAUAACAUUAUUAAAAAUAUUUUACCGUGUCGAGUCGCGUCGAGUCUAAUUGAAUCUCGGGCGGGUGGGUAGGUAGGUAGGUAGGUAGGUAGGUAGGUAGGUAGGUAGGUUGGUAGAUAGGCAGACGGGUACGUGGGUAGCUAUGGCUAACAAUAACGUCACCGCGUCUGUAUACCCGUAUACGUUGUUUACCGUAUAAUAUGUAAAUUUAUACAAUGAAUUUCAAACAAUAAUAUACCACACUCGGAUUCGUGUGUUUGUUUCUGGAAACCGCAAUGGCGGUGUAUGCGAUGCUGUCGCGGUAUAGGACGUAGCUGGGUAUACGUACCUAUACACGCGUUUCGGUCGGAUUAAAUUGUUGUUGGCGAAAAAAAAAAAAAAAAACGCAAUUUUCCAAUCUCGAGCGAAACUUUACACGUCCCUACGUGCGUACUACCCGGAGAAGGUGUUUCCGGGCAAAACAACUUUAAAUGAUAAUUUUAAUUCAUAAUUUUUUUAUUUACGUUAAAAAUGUUCAGUCAUUGUUUUCGCUAUAGUAGUUUUGUUCGAAUGUUUGAUGCGUAUUCGAAUUUAGAUAAAAACGAAAACCGAAUCAAUCGUUUGUCUUCGUUAACUGGACGUUUAUAUGGAAAUCGACUGUUAAACGUCCAGUUAUAAAUGGAAACUAAACGAGUCGGGCUUAAAAUUUUCGGUUAAUAGAAAAAAAAAAAAUUAACUAAAUAACAAAUAAACUGUCUACAUAACAAACUCAGUAAUAAAAAGUUAAAGUAAAAUAAAAGAAAACGUAUUUUUUCCAAUGGUUUCUUCAUGCAUCCCCCCUCUCACCUAUAUUCGAAUAUAAUAGGCAUUGGCCGCAAAACGACUAUGGCCUACAUCGGUUACAGUGAUUAUUGUCUUUUACGCAACAGAGCGUCCGGAAGUGACCGGAAGUAAAGCUAUUGCGGCGUGUUUAUCAUAUCUAGUUACCGAAAAUAUCAAACGAAAAAUAAAACACCGGAUAUGACCAAUAUCCGAAACAGCGUCCGGCGAUAUAUAUUACGUAUCAUAAUAGCAUAAUAUUUGUAAUACAAUUAUUUUCAAACAGUUUUUAGAUUUUUUUUUUUUUAACAUUAAUUUUUACUAGACGAGGUGUGAUCGCGUAGGUUUUUACCGUCUGUUAACAACAUUUACACCCGAAAUAUCACUCCGGAUUUCAAUGGUAGCAUCUUUUCUUAAUGAAUCUGGGUGUUAAUCUAGGCAUCAAAAAGGUCAUUUUUUUAUUUUCCAUAGGUAUAAUUGUCUUGAUAAUCGGGAGAAACGUAAACGAAACGUAAUAGUGUAUGGCAAUGGCGGUUUAAUUAAUUUUGGUUUUGGUUUUCAAUAUGAUUCGGUUGAAAAUAUCAAGUAAGACUCGGGAACAGAUGGAUAUACUCGUAUAAUUUAAUCACGCGGAAAAACCCGCUCGGGACAUUUUUAUUUUAAUUUACAAUAAGACAAUCGCGGUAAAAUUAGAUACCUAGUCAUUUUCGCUCGGUAUUAUUGUGCACGGGCGUGAGCAAAACCAAGCAAAUCGGUAAAAUAUUUAGAGAGUUUUAAUAAUUCGAGAGUAAUGGCCAAUUAGGAAACAGUUUUCUGUUGGAGGUACUUGCCACGGGGGGUGCGGCUGUUUUGUUAUUUCGUCCAAUUCUUUGCCGUGUAAAUCCGGGGCACCACUGGCUCUAUUUGUCACAGCAUGUAAACUAUCGUUAAUCAAUGACGACCAUUUGUAUACUGCGAUCACGGAAUAAACAAAAAAAAAAAAAAAAAAAAGGGUCGUAACUCUCGUAUUUUAGCAAUGUAAAUAACACUUCAUGUAAGUUUUAUAACCGGUUUUAUUGUUACCGUUUGGCGUGGUCAGCUAGAAUAAGUCCGUUCCACCGAUCGCGGUCAAAACAUUGUAAUCCAGCAAAGUAUACCUACUGUAUCAUUAUUUAUACUGCGUAUAAUCGGAAAACAGCACGUGUCUCAAGAAACGUUGAUAAGAAUGAUCGUCUGCGUCUUAUAUUAUACAAAGUUGUUCAAAUCGAUUCAUCCGAUAACCAACGCUUGGGCUUUUUUAGUCUUUGGGUUUUCAGUAACAAACAAUAUUGUCAUUGUAUUUAACGUUACAGUUACAAACGAUACAUUAAAUACAACAAUAAUACCUAAAAUUUUGUAAAUGGUCACCGUACGCGUUCUCCCGUAUACAAACACCCAGUUUCUUCAAACCGCUUAUAGUGCAGCUUAUAUCAUAACCUACGGAUUCUCUGAGCACCCGGCCGAUUCAUCGAUCGACGACGAAAAUCCCGUUGCUCUAUUUUCAACGAUUCGUAUUUUAAAAAUCCGUGUCACGUUAUCGAUUAAAUUAAUUAAUUCCGUUCUAAAUUUCUAAAACUUGGAAUAUAUUCAAGUAAACGAUUCGAUAACAUAAAUUAGUAUAUUAUAAACUGUAUAAUUACCGUGUUUUGCAACCGUGCAUAAAAUCGGACGGAUCGUCUUGAAUAACCCUGCAUUAUUAUACACGUGCGUGUACGUUCUCUGUCUCUAUAACAGCGGUCCCCACUACGCGGCCCUUUGACACAUUUUGGGCGGCCCGUACAAAAAUGUCUAAAACUGAUUUUACAUUCUAUACUUUUAAAGAGCAGAUGAAAUAAAAUUCAUCCGAUUGUACCUUUAAUUUAUCUUAUCUUAUUAUUCUUGUUUGUUUAAUCCGUCGAUUUUCAACUUUAACCGAUUUACCAGUUUGACAGAUAAUUAGAUAGGUACGAGCAAGAAUGUAUUUAAGAGAGUAAUAAGUACUUUAACAAAGAUAUUUUUUUUUCAAGUCGAUAUUGCAAAAAAAAAAAUAAAAAUAAUAAUAAUCGUAUUGAUUUACUGUAUGCGGCCCGCGAGUAAUUUCCGAAAAUCGUAGUUGGCCUUUUUCAGAAGGCUGGCGGCCGAACCGCCGCCCCACAGUAAUACACAUAUAGAAACUAAAUAUACGAUUGUGCCGAAUCGUGUUUUCUCGGCGUAAUAGCUAAACGUGUGUAUGCUGCGGGAGUGCAGGCGUAUUGUCGGAGAAAAAAAAAACGCGUAUUACUUUCCGAGAUACCGCGGUACGUUCGCAAUGCGCGUUUGCGGAACACCCUGUAUAGUAAUGGCGAUAGGCGCAGUACGUGUACCGCGGUGUACGUAAGACGCGUUACGUACGGUCAGAGCCGUACACGGUCGGACAGGCAUCGCGGGCAGAAAAGAGACGCGCCGAGCGAGAGACGGACACGCGGCCGCGGCCGACCGCGCGCGGUAGUGACAGAUAGCCGCGGCGGCGGCGGCGGCGGAGAGAUGCCCGUGCGAACGGACGGCGGCGCGACGGCAGCGGCGGCGGUGACGAAGAAAUAUCGUUUUCCGCGGGCGCAAUCGAUCAACCCGACCGCCGCGGCGGCGAGUGAUUGGCGUUCAACGGCGGCCGAGACGAAGAAGGACUGCGCGCGCUAAGAUAAAUGAACUCCUGGAGGAGACGGCGGCGCGCGGAGCCGUUUGGAUUCCGUAUUUUUGCCGCGGCCGUAAAGUAAUAAUAAUUGUCCAAAACAGAGAAAACAGUGUCUCUAUAACCGAUACGUAAACGCGUGCGCCUACCCUGUACAGGGUACCGGCCGGGCGACGGGCGGCUGCGGCGACGACGGCAUUUGAUAUUGACAUAAUGAAAAUUGAUGCGGCGGCGACUCUACUCUCUCUCUCCCUCUAUCACUCCCUCUCUCCCUCACUCUCUCUCUAUCUCUCUCUCUCUCUCUAUAUAUAUAUAUCGGUUUCUCCUCUCGUCUCCUUUCUCCCCGCGAAAAACGGCAUUUAACUGUGGCGCGUUCGCGCUCGGAUUCAAUUAUUAUCGCCAAUUUUCCCGGCUAUCUGUCGGCGCUGCCACUGCCGCCGCCGACGUUUUAUUCCGCGCGAAAAGAUUAAUCGGUCGAGUCUUCUGCCCGCGCUUUCCGGCGGCAGACGUGUCCGUAAUAAAAAAAAACUAAAAAAAAAAAAAAAAAAUAGACGUACACAAUUACCACUAUAUUUAUUAUACCUUCGAUAUUCUCGCGAUUAUACACACGAAUUUAUACUUGUUAUUACGGAACACGCGGGUCCGCAAACCGUGAAACCUAUCCCGUCGUUUAUAUUCUAAUCGAUAUCAACACGCGACACAUCUCGUCGGUAAAGUGUAAGCGAUUGUCGUCGCAGAUCAAAACUCACCCGAUCAAAAAGUCGUAUUGUUCAGAAAACAAACAAAAAUCUGGGAAAGCGUUUUCCCGCAGUACAAUAAAUAAACUCGAAAUGCACUUUUCUUAUCGUAUUACGUUAUAAUUUAUAUAGGUUAUAUAGGCUUUUAGGUAUCCAAAUUUUUAUUUGAGAUAAAAGUUUGAAACGUGCGAAUUUUUAUCUGAGUUAUCUACGGGUUAAGGAAAAUCCAACUAAAUUUGACCAAACGUUAGUUUUGACACAAACUGAUAUUUUCCGGAAUAAAUUUAAACGUUUUCUUGUACGUUCUGAAACGAUCUGAUUACAGAAUCGGAUUCGUACAUGUUAAUUGUAAAAAAAAAACAUUGUCUUUAACUCGUUUCUCCGUUUUUUUUUCUUCUUGGAAUAUGUGAGCUCAAUCACAUUUGUUUCAACCGUCCGAAUAAUAAUAAAACCCAGCUGAUUGUUUAUAGAAUUUUUUUCGUAUAUCCGGCCAAAAUAAAUCAAGUGGGAAACAUUCAACAAUGAAGGCUGUAUUCCCGAUUCGUGUCGUCCUAAAAUGUUUUAUUUUUUUGGAAAUUAAAUUUCGUACGCCUAUAAUUCUUUAAUACAUUCCUCGCUCGAAAAAUCCUCCGGUUCUAUCCCAAUUUUAAAUUCGUUAAAAUGUAAUCACGACUACGUGACGAUUAUUAUUACGACACAUUAUAUUGCAAUGCAGUAUGAAAACUGGAUGUAAGAAAACGAUAAUUCGAUAAAUAGGUGUACUGAUAUUACUAGUAUUAUGCUCUCUUUGACCCAGUGACAUGCAUACACUGGCGCGACUAUGAGUCGCUAGUAGUAUCUAGUAUAGAUCUGUAGAGCAAAUGAAGAGUUUGAAAAAUAAAUAUCAAGAAAAAUGUUUACAUUCUGCACACGAUAAGAAGAAGACGAUUUGAUAAAAAAACAUGCACAGUCUUUGUGUCUGAAUAUAAUCGUUAACCGAUUUCACAAGCCCGAUACAGUAUAGUCAGACCCGCCGGAAUCUUACGAAAACUUGAUGAUAAUAUUAUCAAUUUGGCGAAUAUUCCCUAUAAUAUAAUAAUAGUGUAACACAAUGUUCGUUAAAUAACGUUCAAUAUUGUAUUGUAUAAAUAGUACACGUAUUAUAACGAUAUUAUGUCAGCUCUGCAGCCCCCGCAGCCUCAGUGCCGUGCAGGCCUUUCAGAGUUGCCGCAAAAGCGGUCGUCACCAUGACGAGACGCCAAACCGCGAUCAUACCCCUAACCCCUCGUGUAGACGUCAAAGGUGCCUAAAUCGCAAAACCGCGAUUAUAAGAGUAAUACUGCUGUUAUUGUACACAUUUAGCGACUGAUAUAUUCAAACUACAAAUAUUACUAGAUGGCUAAAAUUUAAUAAUACUUUGAACAUUAAUAUACAGUACGUCCCACCGUGUUCGACAGAUUAUUCAAGCGCUGUUAGUAUUACGUUGUUUAUGAUUUGUUUUUUUUUUUUGAAAUCGGUUUUUCUUCGAGAGGGACAUCGACAUCGAUUUGAAGAAAAAUUACAUUUUUAUUUUUAUUCCUCAAACAUAAAAAGAAAAAAAUUACUUUAUUUAUUCACUUUUGAAAAUUUUAAAAAAUUACCAUUUUUGAAAAAAAUAAUAUUCAAACAAUUUUAAUGUAUCGCGCGUUCACAUCCGAUAAAUAAUUUCUUUGUUAUAGUCGUUUUAAUUAGGUGUGAAAACAAUUUUAAUAGGUAUUCAAUUAUUAUAACACGCUACAUGAUAAAAAAUUACAAUCGGCACGGUAAUUAUUUACCUUCUAUUGAAUAUUAAUUGUUUUCACGCCUAUUUUUUAGAAAUUAAAGCGGCUAUAAUUCAGCUAAAAUCUAUUAAUCGAAUAUGAAUGGAUGAAUUGGAUCACAAUUUUUAGAAUAAUAUUUUUUUACAAAAUUUUUUGAAAAUUUGUCUAAAGUGAAUAAAUAAAGUUAUUAUUUUUUUAAUGUUUAGCGGAUGAAAAUAAAAAUGUAAUUUUUCUUUAAAUCGAUAUCUCCCUCAAAGUCAGACCGAUUGAAAGAAAAAAAAAUAAAAAUAUUUAAUACUAACAGUAUUAGAAAAAUCCGUCGAACACGGUGGGAAACACUGUAUUUAUGACAUAGACCUUAUUUGUAAUGUUGCAAACGUAAGCGCUUAUUACUUGUAAGAGCGUCGUUCAUCUGAGUAAGUGUACCUUUUUUCCACCCUAAAAUAACCGCAGGCCAUUUAAAGGCACAUUUUUAAGCCUAUUUGAGCGGUGGAUACCCAUUUUAUCUUAAAAUUAUCAUAUAGAUCAUUUAAACGCGUUUUAUACUGAAUAUAUGGUAUACGUAUAAAUACGUUAAGGGACUCUCGUAUUGUCCGAAAUAACCGCUCGGUACGAACAUUUAACAGACUACCUGUUGAAAAUGAAUCCAAGGAAUAAUAAUGGGAAACCAAAAAAAAAAAAAAAAAACAAAUGAACUCAGAUAGUUGUACCGAUGUUUGAUAUAAUCGAAGAAAUCAAGGAAUUAUGACUGCCGUAGGCUGGUCAUGCGCGGAGGAAAGAAGAAAUUCUAAAACGCCGGAUACAGUGUUGUAUGCCAAGCGAAAAGAGACGUUCGGUAUAGAUGGGAGAUCGAGUGAAGAACUGAUGUUUGAACGGUAAAACUGGGAACCGAUCGACAUGGUUUAGCGACGGGCAGAACGGCAUGCCACGACAUUUGGUGGUGGACAACUAUCAGAUCACAAGGGUCGGACGCUACGACUGUUUCGAAAGAAGACGUGUUAGUUCAAACAUUACGUAGUAUAUUGUUCCGAUAAGGGGGUUAAUGUCUCAAAGGGAAAACUAGCUGAAACCUUAGUUCACGUGUGUUAGUGUGUGGAGUAUAUAUGUAUGUAUCUCAAAUUCGGGCAUUCAAUGCGUACCGACGGUGUUUUGUUUAAAUUGCGUAUGCCGCUAAAAAUCGAAAAAUACGUUUUUUUUUUUUUGUAUCGAAAAAAUCAGACAAAUUAGGAACACAGACUGGUAAAAGAGCGUAUUUAAAUACGGGGGAAUCGUGUCGGUAAUGUCGACUAAAAGAUAACCACUAUCCAGGCGCCCUUUUAAAAUACAAUUGAAUCAACACUGAUUUGUUAAAAGGGGCGUAUAUCACAUUAAACGCGUGUAUAAUUUGCGUACAAGGUGUUGUGUGUACGAGUAACUCUAUUGUUUUCCGCGAUAAACAUAAUUAAAAAAUUAGGUUCGUUUUAUUUUUUUUUUUUCGGGAAAAAGUUAAAUUCGAUAUUAAUGCCCUUUUAACGAAACACCGUCGAAAUAAAACGCAAUUUCGUUAUAAAUUACUCAUUUUUUUUUUUUUUUAAUACCUAUGGUUGUGUAUACAUGUUAUACAUUGGUCUAUUGCGUAAUUACGUGUUCAAUUUCAAGUUCGCGUGAGCAUUGCAUUAAUACCGGAGCGAGAGUCGAUUCAAAUUUGACAAACCGAAUAGAUUUAUCAGCGCUCAUUUACGUAGCGCCGUAUUAAACGCGCGUUUUAUAUCAUGCGACCGCAUACGAAUUGAGUGGACGUGCGCCGGCAACUCUGGUACGCAGACGCGGUCAGUACGACGCGGCCGACCCGCGAAUCAAACAUUUUCGUAAAAUAUAUGGUCUACGCGUGCACGCACAAUUGCUAUUUCCGUUGGUAUUGCGCGUCCCGGAUGUCUAUACACUUGCCGUGCCUGUAGAGUUUUCCGAGAAAUUUUCCGUAUUGCCCGCCGUAUUGCGUAUUUGGAUGCGUCGUACGCAAAACGAGAAAAUCUCUUUAACGCAAUAUUAUAUACGGGUGUGCGUAAUGUUUUUUUACACCGGACUUUAUUCGCGACUUUUAACAUCUUAUUUUUUUUUUUUUCUGUGUUUUUCUUCUUAUUUUAAACCGUACGCGGCGACGGCGCAAUUAAACGUAUAAACCGAUGUUAUAAAAUAUCUCUCUUUUUCUUUUUUUCUUUUUUUUUUUUCCGUCAUCUUUUUCUUCUGAAAUGCGCGCAAACUGUAAUAAAGUAUAUUGAACGCGGGGUAUAAUAACAUUACGAGUAUACGCCGAAACGUGUCACAUUUCGCGACUACGACGCUGGUAUAAAAAUAUCGCGUACUACGCGGUGUGCAUACACACUAUAUAAAGUGUAAACCGUUUAGACACGAUCUCGACAGACGUGUGAAAUUACGCGUCGCGUAAUAAUAUUUUAACGAUGUACGGCAAACGCGAGCCGGUAUUUAAAAUUGUUGUACAUCAUUCGUUCGGUCUCAUACGGCGCGGACCGCGGAAACGCGUCUUGUAGCGUUUUUUUUUUUUUUUUUUUCUUAAAUUCUGUGUGGGAGAAUGUGUUAUCGAUUUUACUAUGACUCGCGCUUUUUUUUUUUCGCGUACUUUUCAUUUUUUUUUUUUAUUCGGUUUUAUGCAGAUCGAAUUUUGUUCGGCUUCUUCGAAAUACUCAAAAAUUUGAUACGACGAUUUUUAUGACAUGACGUUAUGUAUAUAUGUAUAUAUAUAUAUAUAAAAAAAAACCGACGAUCAACGGAGCCCCGUCAUUAAAGUCGAAUAUUUCCCGACUAAAAUUGUGUUAUAUACUUCCGAAAAAAUUGAGAAAUAUUACCAUACAAAUUGUAGAUGGGGAGGUUUAAAGUUGAUUUUGCACGUGGCCAAUUGUCUUGCGUUGAUAUGGCCAUGUCGAAACUACCUAAAUCCAACGGUAUUGUGCUUCGUGUUAACUUUAAACGAUUUAACAUAAAUCAGAAUAAUGAAACACGCGGACAUACGAUAUUAGAACCAACAAAAAAAUGUCUAGUGAAAAGAACCUUAUGUAAUUACUAGGGCUCGGGAUUUGUUUUACAUGAAAUCCACAAAAAAACACUUAAAAACGUCAAAAGAGCCUGGAAAAUAGCGCUUCAAGUAAAUAUCAUUAGAUCAAAUAGUAGAAGGGUUUUGAAGACCCUCGUCUAACGACUCUAAAUUAUUAAAUAUAUAUUUCUAAUACGACACAAAUUAUUCACAAAAAAAUGAUUUUGUUCAAACAAAAUUGGACGUAUUAUAAAAACGAUAAUUUUGGUGUAUUAAUUCGUGCAGUAUUAAAAAAGUUUAUUUGAUAAAUAAAAGCUAUUAGAGGGGAAACAUUAAAACACUUGUACCUUUUUUGUUUUUUUUAAUAUUUUUCAAGUGCUUUUUCAGAGCUUUUUUGAUGUUUUUAAAGAGUUUUUGGUGGAUUUUAAGGACAAUAAGUUCCGAGCUCUAGUAAUUACGAUAACGGGGGCUAAGUGAUGAGAUCAAACCAAAAAAAUAAUUUAAAAAUUCCAUAAAUUGGAAACCUUUAGGGAAAGAGGCCAUUGAAGAGAUGUAAACAACGGUGGUUGGGCCAAGCUUCGAGAGAUUUCGAAAGCUUAGACGUUCAAGCUAAAAAGUGGACAAAUGUAUGAUACUGGUAGCCGUGGUCAGAAAUGGUAUGUAUAAAUAAAAGACGAAGAACAACAAGAACUUAACACCAGCCAUUGACAUGACGAUUAUAUUAAAAUAAUGAAAAUUAAAAGGUGUCGUCGUUAAACAAAAAAAAAAAAAAAAAAACAUCAUCAUCGAAAUUAUAUUAAGGGACUCGAUUUGAUUAUAGCAACUGUAAAUGUUAAAACUUUAAAACAAAAAUAUCGAACACGAAUCGUAUUAUAAUAAAUUUCAAAUACAAAAAUGUAGAGGUACCUUUAGUUGACAGGUCGAACGAAAUAUUAUUCAGUCUGCAUCUCCAAACGUAAUUCGACUUUCAAUAUAUAAACGAAUUAACUGUAUAGGUACCAAAAAAAGAUAUUUUAAAAACUAAAAGGUGAAUAUAAUAAAUUGCGUUAACCGUCAAAAAUCCAAUAGACGAAAUGUUAAACAUGGAUAUAUAUGUACACGCAUAGAUAUACGAGAACAGUGUAUGAAUAUACGAAAUAUUUCAUGUGAAGUUCGCGUUUUGAAAUAUUAAAUAGGAAAUCAAAAUUGAAAAUACCGAAUGAAUUCUAAACACUCGGCACUGCGUCAUAGAGCGUACAGUAGUACGGAUAAAAUGACAUAAAGCAUAAUAUGAAUUCUUAUAAUAUUUAUUUUUUUAUAUUUUUACAGCAUACAAUAAAAGAUAAUAACACUCUUGUGAAUUAUACUUAUAUUAUAAUGUUUGAUGAAAAAACAAAUACAACAAUGGGAGUUUAAAAACCGUAUUCGUGUUUGUGUACUUUAAUAUAUAAAACGAUUUGAUACUGUUCGCGGGUAGGCCUGCACUGUUCUAGGUGGUUGUCAGAUAGGUAGGAUACAUGGGUUAAUGCGGUUUGUACACUGUAUACAAAAAUGAAACAUUACAAACGAGGAAAAUAAUUCCGAAUAGAGUAUUAUUAGUCGUUUCAUUUUGUUUUAUUUUUGUAUUUGCCGAGGUAAAACUCUUGGCUAUCAACACAAAUCCAACAAAAAUAAUAAAAACAACCCUGGGGUAAACUGUUGACAAUGUCGAUGAAUGUUUCAAACAAAGUACCGUCGGACAGAAAUUCCGCGUCGUUUGAGGUAUUGCGAGAAAAAACCGGAGCAUUUUUUUUUCUUAACCGUCGUAAAAUUGUUUUUCGAGAAAAAUCUUUGUAAAAAUAAGCGUUUUUUUUUUUUUAUUAUUUUAUCUAGUAUUGAACUACGAAAAAAUAAAAAAAUCAAUCUAUUUUAUGAAAUGCGAAGAAGAAAAAGACAAAACGAAUAUUUCACGGUAUUAAAUAAUGAUAAUAAUUUUACGAAAUUUUAAACCCCUAUACUAACCUAUUUUAAAUAAUAAUAAUUAUGUAAUCACAUUACUUAAAUAUAUUGAAAAUAAAUAUAACUCACAGUAAACAUAUACGGAAUAAUAUCACGAUAAAUGUUUUAUAAAAUCCCCUACACCUGUCGUUUUAUUGAUAGGUUCAGCCAAUAUGAUGAAUUAGCAGAGACGGAUACAAUUUUCCCGGCAUAACUUUCCCGUCCGGCACGAGGAACGUAUAAACAAAUCUGAAAAUGGAAAUUCGGGUCCGUUGUAGCGGCGAUUGAUGUGUUUUAGUUUAAAUCGAGGAAAGUUGAUACACGCGUUAUAUAUGUAGGUAUAGUAUUAUUAUUAUAGAUACAUCGACCGAAAACAUGCGAAGACUUGAACGAAAAUCGUAUUACAAAUUAAACCGAUCGAUUUAUAUCACGUUAAAAAAAGAAAAUAAAAUCGAAAUACAAAAACGCGCAACCGAUCGUUACAAAAAUCGUUUAAUAUCAAUUCGAUCGGCUAGCUGUGUGAAACGAGUGUGUCUACACGAAAAUUAUAAUAAUAGUCACCGGUACUCGGAGAAAUUUUGAAAUUUAACAGUAAAUAAACCGGUUUAGAUUGAACGAAGAAUUUUACAAUAAAAUUGCAAAAAUGUCGGUGAAUAUAAUUUGGAUGGAUUACAAACUAACUGCAAAAGACGUGUCUACUAUCUACACCAGUUGUGAUUACGAAAGAUAAUAAUAUAAUACGUAUAUGCAUAAAAAAAAAAUAGCGAGGAAGGUGAGAUUCGUAACCAACGAUAAAACAUUGAUAACAAGAAACGAUUCGGAGCAAAGUAAGGUUGUAUAAUAUAUUUUGUAAAUAUAUUUAUGAUUUUCAUCAAAAUUUCAUCAGCAAAUUCCUUCAUAAAUACAAAAUAGGUACUAUAUAAAACUAAUUUUUUUUUUUUUUUAUCACAAAGUACGACAUUUAAGGAACCUGUUAUACUUUCAAGCAUUUCUGUUUAGUCUAACAAUUUUAUACACAGAGUAAAUGCGGAAUAAAAAUUACGCAUAAAACUCGCAAAAAUUAAAUGUCUAUAAUUAGUUCAAAACAAGAUCAAAUGUUUUGAAAAAGGCUACGUUUAAAAAAAGCAAAUAUAAGUUUUUCGUUGAAAUUUCAAGUUUUUAUUUUACUAAAUUACAUUAAAAAAACAAAAUUAAAACUAUUGAAAACCGGCAAUAGAUAAUAACAAUGAUAUGUUACUAUAAAUAUUGAUAUUUAAAUGUACAAAUUCGUAUUAAAUAAUACGCUAUUACGAUUAUAUUUUUUUCAAUCUGUUAUUUGUUUCGUACAAUUUUUUUUUUUACGGUGGGAAGGGUUUUUCUUUUUAAUCUGUUUAGUUAUUAUUCUUAUUUUUUCAACGUACACCGUCCGAUAUAAAUAGUUUCGGAACACAACCACGGUAUCAUAAUAUUAUUGUUACUUUUCGAAAAUUGAUGAAAGUAUUCGAUAUUAUUACUAUCGGGGUUUAUCAGGCCUUAAUAGGAUCAUCCCGUUUCGCCAACAACCCUCCAGCUAUUUCUAUCCAUCGUCGAAAUCGUCCAACAUCCUAGAGCUUCUACGUCCUUUUUUAUAUUAUAAUCCGGCAAAGCCCACAUCCACCACCUUCCACAAGGUAUUUUCCCUAUAUUGGAUUCCGCACUACCAUUUCCCGUAUUAGGUGGGUUACGGAUUCUCCGUGCAUGUUCAGGUCGUCACAAUCUGCCUAUGUAACGACAAUUUAUUUUUGUUUUUUUUUUUUUUACUGAGUACUCAGUAGCCAAACUUUAGAUUCGUACAACAUAACUGAUCGUAUCUAUUAUCAGUUUUCAAUUUUUUUUAAUGACGGUGAUCGUGAACUUAAUAACUCCAUAAAUCCAGUAAAUCCAUUUUGUUGAGAAAUACAUAUUUAAAUCUGUUUUAGUAUUACGCGUUAAAUAUUAUAGUUUCUAGACGAAACAAAUUUCGUAACCAUAAAAUCGCAUUCGCGAUUAAAAAAUUGAAUUGACCAACAACUGAUAAUCUGUUCAAUUCAAUUUAUUACUUCAAAUCAAAUGUCGAUUCGUUAAAAAUUAUAUACAUUUAAUAGUAUAUUUAAUGACGAUAAAACUCUAUAGCAUUUACCACCUAAAUAAGUUAGAAAUGUAUGAAUCGUCUAUAUUAUUAUACAUGUAACGACAAUUAUAAGCGCAGUAGAAAACCGAGGCAUUUAAAUGUCAAUAUUUUACAUGACUGGUGUAUAGACUACAGAAUAAUUUAUAAAUAUAAUAACAAUACUGUUAUAUGUGCAAAAGUCUUUUGAGAAUUUUAAAGGUUCAUGUAUUCGGAGAUAUUAUUUGUCGCUUAAUGUUUGUUAAACGACACCGGUAAUGUAUUCAUUUAACGACACGUUUAAGUAUAAAGAAAAAAUAACAAUUGACAAUAAAAAAAAAAAAAACAAUUAUUAGCUAAUUUUCUUGAUAAGCUUUUACUUGAUCACGACACAUAGAAACGAUGGUCACUGCGAUAUGGUAUUCAAAAUAUUUUACUCCACAAAAACAAUAAAUCAUAUGAGUUCCGAUUCCUGUGUGUUCGUUGGACAUUUUCAUUUUUAUUUAUUCGGUCCUGUUGGAAUUUAUGUGUUUUACGCUUUUGGGCGUAAAUGGUUUAAACUAUAUAAAAUCGUGUUCGUGUAGCGCUCGUGUGUUAAACCGGAAAACGAUUUUAAUUAGGUAACAAUUAGAUUAUUAAUUGACGUGCAUUAGGUCGCAGACACGGCUUUGGGGUGUUGUGCUCACAUUAUUAUCACAUUGAGAACUAAGACGAAAGUUAAGCUAACGCGUGAUCCCGGCUAGACCCCAGAGAAAACCGACGAUAAUAAUAACAUAAUGACUGCAACGCUGCAAAUGCCAUGGUAUGUGCGACGUUUAAUCGUACACCAUAAUAUCGUAACAGGCGCACGCACUACGGUUUAUAAUAAUAAUGGGCCGUAAGGUGUUUUAUCGGACAGUAUAUAUCUGACUUUUAAUAUUCCGUGUUCGGUAAUACCGCCGUAAAUAAUUUACCACGAUAAUAAUUAAUGUUACUUAACCCGAACCGUACGCAUGUAUGAAAUGCAUACAGAAAUAAAAUUAGAUGGAAAUAACCUCAGGCCACCGCACGGCUGUCAAGUGUUUUAUUGCCGUCACAUAAUUGUUCAACGGAAUUUACUCUCGUCAUAAUAACAGGCGUCUCUAUUAUCAUCUACUAUUUUUCUAGCCUACCCCCCGCCCCCUCUUCUCCUCAUAAAGACGUGCGCAUUUUAGAGAUUUCCCGUGUGCCAAACGACCAGACGACCAAUAGUAAAACGGAGAAAUCCUGUAGAUGCAGUAGCAGUACCAGUAGCGAGUAGAGGUAUUUGAGAACACAUACGGUUAAUCUGCCCACUCAGUGGCACGUGCGAAAAGGUUUCGCAGAAAGCCCGACAUUCAAUUACGUGGGGUGUUGUUCGAAAGUCUAAUUUUUAAAUAGAAUUCAAAUAGUAUACGGCGGUCAAACGUUUUAUGUUCAAAAACAAUAAUUUUAAAAGCAUCGCGUUUUACGUCUCUAGCGAAACACGAUACGAUCUUUAAAAUAUACUAACUUAUAAUAUAGCCGUUAAAGAAACUGUUAAACACGCAUAUUAUUAUACUUAAAAUACUACGUAAAAGCUUUGCACCUGCAGGACUCGAAACCAUUAUGAUUUCAGCACUUCCUUAUUCCUUUUCAGAUUCUUAUAUAUUAUAUUACGUAGUUGAUAGCCGUCUAAAACGCGAUAACCUUUUGAAAACGAUCCUUACACAACCGCGAGUUUAAAACACCCACGUCCUAUUAAGUGUAUUCCCUUUUAGUUUUAUACAUGGAUAUAAAUCGUAAUUAUAAUGAUAAAUCGUAGAAAAUAAGUACCGAAGGAAAAUGUGCAUUAUAAUAUAAUACGAACUGUGUCCGUCGGACACACACACACACACACACACAAACAUACGAUGUUAAUCAAUCGAAAUUAAUUAGACGGCGAGUUGUUUGUAAACUGCAGUCGGAUUCGGUAUAAAACUCGGUAUUUCAUGUACACAAUCGGAACUCAAUCAUACGAAUCCCCAGUAAACCCUCAUAACUAUAGGUUGUAUAUUUGAAAUAUUUCAAAAUUGAAAAAUUCACGCCUCGUGAAAUGUUUCAACGUAAUAUUGGAAAAUAUUUUCGUUUCUUUACAUUUAAGAUAGUAAUUCUUUAACUCUUCAAGUACUCAAAUGCAAUCUCCAAUCAGUUUUUUUCCCGAUAUUGUUUCGGUACAAUCGUUGUGGUCUCUGGUAUAAAAUAGCGUAGAUAACGAAAAACCGGCGUGUUGAUAGCAGUUGUUAACUGAGUUCCGUAAUCGUUGAUUAUCACUUUAUCAGUUGGGUAUCAGUUAUCAAUUAUUUAAUUAUAACUAUAACAAAUAAAACAGAAAAGAUUUUGUUUUUGAUUACAAUGAAAUAUUUCAAAAAAAUAUAUUUCAAGAAAUUUGAUAACUUUACCCUUAGGUAAGAUCCGGCAGCGGAAAUAAUAAUACGUUUUUGGAACCAAGGUCACUAAACAUAUGUAUAUUGUUACGAGUAUUAGAUAUUUAUUUACGGAUUUUACGAGCUGUAGAGUCCAUUGUAGAUAAAAAAUGUCGAAGACUAUAAUCUCAUAGGUACAAUAAAGACGAUCGUAUAACCUGCAAAACGUACACGAGUAGGUAUAUUACAAUACCGUGGCCGUUAGGGUUAAUCACCGACGAAUCGUAUACGCGAUUUCAUAAAUUAUCCGUCGGGGACGUCUCGGCAGUUCGCAAAGGACCGAAAAUAUCGCCGGGUCUCUUUGAAACAAAAUGCCAUAAAUCGACUUGGACGAGUUCCCAAUAUUUUUCUAUAUUAUUUAUACGUACGCGGAAAAUAAUUGUUUGAUUUUCCGGCCAUACUAACCAUUAACCCCUCUACCCCCCUCCCAUCCUUGUGGCAUACACAUAUUUUUUAUUGUAGGUAAUAAUAGCAACUUUUUGCUGUCGUUGGCCGGACUACACCUACGCAUUGUAUAACGGACACGAUAGACUACAAUAAUCUCUAUUUCCGAGGAAAAUUGUAUAGAAAAACGCUUAAAACAAAAUGCCUAUACAUAUAUGUAUAAACCUUUACAAAGUCAUUAAAAGUUUAUCCCGUAUACUUUAUAAAAAUAAAAUAAAAAUAUUUACAAGGUGAUCUUUUAAAUUUUAUUGUAGAUUAUAAAUUUUCUUGGAGGACUCUAAGUGAAUUUGAACUUUAUUUUUUUUUUUUUUUUUUUUUUUUAAUCGUUACGGAAUCAUUCAAACUUUUUUUUAACACCGUUUUCAAUUGCAUACUCCUACUCUUAAUCCACUUUAGAUUUUUAAAUAACAAACCCAGAUUUAAAUGAAGAAUAUUUUUCUCAAUAUGUUGAUAUCCUUAACGCUAAUAUAUCAGAUUUACCGUUUGUCAGUUAUAACAGCUCAAAGUUUAGACCGGAGUGGUAAUAAAUAACACAUCUAUUUUAAAAUGAUAAAUCAUAACUCCGGUAAUUGAUGGACCGUGAUAAAAGAAUCACUCUGUACAAACGAAAUCGAAAACUCAAUUUUGUAACGUAAUGAUAAUCGCGUUUGGACGAAAACAGUUAUAUAAUUAUUUGUAAAUAUUGUAAUUAAGUUUAAAAAAAAAAAAAAAAAUGAUAAUAAUUUAUAAUGACGUAUACCAUUUUAUUAUUUAGUAUAUUUUAUGCAUUUUUUACAUUCCACAGUAUGCUUAACAAUAAUAAUAAAUUAAUUUUUGUUUUUUUUUUUUUUUAGAUUAUAGAAAUUCAAGGUACAUCAAAAUCGAUACGUAUUAAAGAUUCUUCGAGUACAUUUUUGGCCACCAAGUAAGUUCAUGUGAAAAGUACAUAUUAUAUAUUAUUGUAGGUUCCUGUAGCUAUAAUGUUACACUUGUUCGCUCUAUAAAACUGUUUGUCGUACGGCUAGUUAACUAUUGCGUUAUAAUGGACUACGAAUCCGUUUUAGUUUCUUCGAGUGAAACAACAACAAUAAAUCGUUAUUCGGGAUUUAAAAUUUUUGCACGCAACAAUAAUUAUUGUCA